UUGUCCUAAGCUUAAAGGAUGGCAGAAGAAGAGGGAUGAUUCGACAGCACUUGAGCUACUCCAAUUUCCUUGUCUUUCAUAUUUCUCUUGUCAUAACUGCCCGAAUUUGACCUCCAUCCCUCAGUUUCCAUCUCUCGAUUUAUCACUAUAUUUGUACAAAGCAAGCCCACAACUUGUGCACCAAAUAUUCACACCAUCAAUCUCUUCUUCUUCCUCAAUCAUUCCCCCUCUCUCUAAAUUGAAGCACCUUUCGAUUAAGUACAUUGAAGAGCUCGAAUCUCUACCUCGAGAUGGACUGCGGAAUCUCACUUGUCUUCAAGCACUAACCAUUGAUACUUGUCCGGCAUUGAAGUGUCUGCCUCAGGAGUUGCAUUCCCUCACCUCUUUACGAGAGUUGGAUAUCCGGGACUGUCCCCAAUUGAAGGAAAGAUGUGGAAAUAAAAAGGGUGCGGAUUGGGAAUUCAUUUCACACAUCCAAAAUAUUGAAGUUGAUAGACAAACAAUUCAAAAGGAGGGCCGGUAUCUACUGGAUGAUGAAGCUUCGGUAAGUUGGUGCUUUUUCUUUCUAAUUUGCAAAUUGAACUUAUAUGAGAAAAUCUUCACUCUAUGAUUCUAUUACACAGAUCAGUGAAGGAUAAGUUUUCAACUGUUGGAUGUGUUUCUUCCAAAAUGAGCAGUGUAUUGCUUUUGAGUUCGUAAGUAUCCUUUUGUCAUUAUUUCUUUACAAUCAAGGUCAAUAAUAAAAUUUAUUUGCUUUAUAAUAAAAUUUUAACCCUUUUUUUUCCCCACAUAUACAGGCUCAUCAAGCUAGAGGAAUCAUUUAUUUGUUUUUUACGCACCUCAAAUUCUAAUAAAUUGGGAAGUGAGAAACAAAUUCAAGGAGAUUAAUUUUUUUUUUUUUAAGGUAAUUCUUCUAACCAUCAUUUUUUUUUAAGGUAAUUCUACCUUCAUUCUUUUCAUGGAUAUAAUGGAUUAAUUUUGACUCUAUGUGCAGAAGUUUGAGCCGGGCUGUUACAUGCACCAUGUUGAAACCUUAUUUAAUUAAAGGAGAAUUCUGGGUGCAUAUGUUCUUGCCAUCAAUGGCUCAUCAAGUAUGAGGAAUCACAUGGAUGCUUGGCAGGUCAUGCUUCUAAGUUCUCUCCAUCUUAUUUUUAUGAUGAUUAUUGUUUUAUAAUUCUGCCUUCCUUUGAAUUUCUCAAAAUAUAAAGAUUAAUUUGAUUCCAUGUGCAGAAGUUAUUAGAACAGACAUUAAGAAACGACAACUACAUGCCAUGGCAACAAUUACUUGACAGAAGAAUUUCCACACAUUGCAUGACUACUUUGAGAUUGUCGCCAGAAGAUUAAUACAAAGGUACUUCUCAAAAACACGUUUAGAAUUGUGAGAGAAACUUCUCACUCAGAUUCUUUGUGCAGGGAUCGGGCACUAAAAACACAAUGAAAGCACUCCCUUUCUUCCGUCUUCAAAAAGCAAGCUAUACAGUAAGUCCCUUUCUUCCGUCUUCAAAAAGCAAGCUAUACAGUAAGUUGUAAGGACUCUACUUGUAAUAUAAAUCUUCCUAGUUAUUGCUUGUAAAGAAAAUCAGUGACUUAAUGGUGACUCUGGCUUGAAACAGAUUUCAAAUCAAUAGUGUGAAAAUCCUCUGGGUAGCAGUAUCUUCGUAACUUCACUUGUGGCGAAGCCGAAGAUGGUGGAGAUUCACUAAGCUAUGCAGGUCGUGUCCUUGACAGACUGGAAUUAAAGCUCGCAGGGACAAGUUUCUUAUCUGUCACAGUUUAGAAAACAACUCAAUAGUUGCUGGGCAAGAAGCAGAAUGAAGCAGAAUGAAGCAGAAUGAUGGAGUUUUGUUUCUAAUUUUUCUGAUUUUAAGUAGUUUUCCUAAUAAUAUGGUCUAAUGAUUUGUUCAUUCAAUGCAAACAACAUCAUUUUCCCUUUUUUCCUAAGAAAUCAGUUUUUGUUAUAAAUUUGUGUUGCCAGAAUGUGUAAGAGCACUGAAUUUUAGAUGAAUUUCGGGAGAGCACAAAAAACCAAAAAUCAGAUAGAGCAUUAAAAGGAUUGGUUAUGAAAUCUGAAUAUAAAAAAACUUUUUCAGAAAUCAGACCAGAAAUGAACUUCAUCUACCAGUGAAACAAGUGAGGAACUGUAUAUAAAGGCAGUGAAAAGGUGGUAAGAGAGGAUGAUGGACCUGAGGAUCCGCAUUGGCUUGAAGAGAUAUCGGGGAAGCUGUGUGGAAAACAGCUUCACACCCAUCAACAUCAGCAUCAAAAGAUCCUUCUUCCAAUAAGUCAGCUUUGAGAAAGUGAAGCCUUGCCUUGAUCAUCUGGGGUACAGAAUAUGGAUUCAAUGAACUGAAGUAUGAGGCCAAUGAGAACAUUGAAUGUUCUUGUCAAAAGAAACGCUAAUCAAGCAAACUAAUAUAAGAUUCAUAUCAGUUUAGUAAAGCUGAUUCAUAAAAAGUUGAGUCAUCUAGCUACUCAAUCGAGUGAGGGCUGAUUGCAUAAAAUGAAGUAAAAACAAGAAGUAAUACAUAAAGAUUAGAUCCACAGCUCCAUAGCCACAAGCAAAGUCAGUAUAAAAUCAAACCCACAACCAAGAAAUUAAAAAGCUGAACCUCAUUAAAAAAAUUUAAGGUUCAUCAAUGACCCAACUGAGAUUGUAGGCAAAAAAGGAGACAGAUAGGGUAACCAGACCCUCCUCUCACACAGACUACCUUUCCUUCACUUAUUUUUACUUUGAAUUAGUUCUAAGUUCUAACAAUGGUCUAAUCUUUGCAAGCCAAAAAAUAAAAAAACAAGAAAUUUGCAAAUAUAGAUGCUAAAGAAUUUAUUUUAGUUUUUCAAAAAAGUGCUAAACGCUAGUUAAUUUUUAUGACCAAGUCACCCUCUUUUUAAAAUUAAUCACUAGAUACAUAAACUAAUCACUUAAAUUUAAAAAAAAAAUUUAAAAAUUUUAAUAAUUAAUUUUUUCAUUUUAACCAUUAAAUAUUUUUAUAUUUAAUUUUUAUAUGUUCAUAAGAUUUAUUAAUUGAUUUAUUAAUUUUAUAAAAAAUUUAUUAAUUAAUCAUUUAAUAUCGAAAAUAUUUUAAUUUUUUUAAAAAAUAAACUAAUUUUUAAUAUUUUAAAAUUUUCAUCGUUUUAAUAUAUUUUUUUUUUAAAUUAGAAACAUAAUAAAUUUCUCUUAAAAAAUUUCUAAAAAUUUAAUAAUUUAUUUAUUUAAUAUUCUCCUAUGACAUUACAAUAUGGUCUAUAAAAUCAAUUUAUUAUUUAAUUCUCAAAUAUCACUACUAUUUACAGGUCAAUAGUUUUUCAUUCGAUAGUUUUCAUUCAAUUUCAAUUAAGGAGAAAGAAAAUUUUAAAAUUUCUAAACUACUCUUCUUAUGAUAAUAGAAUUCUAAUUAAGGUAAAAUUGGAUGCGGUGAGGGUGAGGUUGACGGUGUAGAAGACGGAGUUGCAACAAGAGGAGGAGAAGGAGAUGGAGAUGGUGGAGGUUCUGAUGGAGUUGAAGGGAUGAGAGGGUCCACUAGAUUGGCAUUGGGCUGUGUAGGUGGAGAAGUCGCACGAAUAGUAUCCAGUGGAGUAGAGGAUAAUUGCAGUGGUUGUGAACUAGAGGUGGAUGGUGUUGGUGGAGUGGUUGAAACAGGAGAAACAGGGAUGAAUUUGGGGGUGGAGAAGAAGUCGCCCUUCCAAGUUUUUAACUUUAGAUUUCAAGUCAUAAAAUUUACAUACUAAAAUUUUGGGUCUGGAUUAAUUCUAGUCUAGAAAUAAAAUUUACAAAAGAAAUUCAGUGAUUAUUUCCAUUAUAAUAGACAUCCCAAAUUCACCAAACUAAUUUAAAAAAAAAAAAAGCCUAAAUCACAAAACACUCAUUCUUCAAGAUAGAAAUCUUUAUAAAGUCCAACCACCUUCACCAGCUAAGUGAGAGCAAAAACCUAAUCAGUCUUUCUGACUUUUCAGCUAAACCCAAUUUACUAAAUAUUUUUCUGACUAAAACCAUCGUUGCAUAAUAGAUUUUUAAGCUAAAAUCUAUCAACCCCUCGACACCAAAUCACUCCAAAUGCAAAUAUCCAUAUCAUCAAACAACUUAUAAGCAAUACUCAAAUAACUAAAUUCAAAGUAAAUAUAAUCUUUCAAUUUUUAUGAAUAAACUAACAAAAAAAAAUUUAUCAGUGUAGCAAAUGAAUCAAUACUCAACAUCAAAACGACAAUAAAAAAGAACUCAAGGAUGCCACACCUUACCUUUCACAUGUAGAACUCUUAAAAGAAAAAAACUCAAGUAAGUUUUUAAAACUAUAAAAAAUAAAUCUUCUAUAAAAAAAAAAGAAUAAUUUAUAUAUAAGUUCAUGAGAUUUAACAAAAUUCACAUAAUAGUCUUUAACUUAAAUUUAUAUAACAAUUUAGUUUAAAAUUUUAAAUUAAUAUAAUAAAAUGAUCCUUCUAUUAAUGUGAAUUAUCAUUAAAUUAUAAUAAAAUGACAAGUAUACCCUUAAUUAAAUUUAAAAAAAAGGAUGAAGACCGAAGCCCUAAAGAGCUAACCUCUCCCCGAUCAGAUCAUGUACUCGCAGAUUUUGCUUUGCUUUCACCACAACCAUUCUAAUGGUCUCGCCAACUCUAUCUACCUGGCCAUCAAAUUCUUUGCUUCCCAAACUGGUACAAUGUCUCCACCCCUCAUUUCUUCUCCUUAUAAUAGCUCAUUCACAUCCCUCAACUUAUUGUGCUGCAUGUGCUCUCGCCAUCUCACACCCACCAAGAACUAACACUCUCAUUUGUCUCAUGCCCUUAAAAUUAAGAACCCUGCAAUCCAUGUCUUGAGUGCUUGAUGUUCCUGAUAGUGGUGGCAAUAUGUGGGGAAGUACCUUGCAGAUUCUCAACACUUACUAUGCCGUGCUAAACUCCUAAAUUGAAGCCUUCCUACUCUAUUUUUCUGAAUCUUAUGGUUUAAGGUGUUCUUUUAAAUCUAUUUUUUUGAAAAUGAUAAUUUUAGUCUCCAUUGAAAUAGUUUGGUCCAAACUGAUUCAAAUAACUUUUGGAAUCACUUUUCUAUUCAAAAUGAUUAACCCAAAUUAUUUAAUAGUUUAGUAUUAGCUAUUAUAUACGAAUACGCCGAUGUAAAAUCUCACACUCUCUUGCUAAAUUUGUGACGUAUUUGUCGGAACUGAAUCAAAUAUAAUUGUUAAACCAGAUGAUGCAGGACUAUUUAGACUCCGUCAGGAGUUUUAAUCAAUAUCGUUUGGCUAAAACGAAAUAGGAGAAAAGAUAAACUGAAAGACUAAAAGUCUUAUUGAAAUUCCUCAAAUAAUGAAAAGUGUGUUUCUAAUAGCCAAGGGAGGCUAUUUAUAAUAAAAUCCUAAUAUGCAAAAUAAUUCUAAUCCUAAUAGGAGUCUAAAAUCCUAAUAGGCAAGGGAGGCUAGUAGAAAUAAAAUUCUAAUAUGCAAAAUAAUCCUAAUUCUAAUAGGAGUCUAAAAUCCUAAUAGCCAAGAGAGGCUAAUAGAAAUAAAAUCCUAAUAUGUAAAAUAAUCCUAAUCCUAAUAGUCGUCUAAAAUCCUAAUAGUCGUCUAAAAUUCUAAUAGUCAAUGGAGGUUAUGUAAAUAUGCAAAAUUAUAAAAAUACCCAAAAUAUCUAAAAAUAAUAAUUAAAAUAUAAAAGUUAGCCCGGUCCAAGUUUGCCGUAAAAUUCAAGGCUAGUUGCUCCGUAUCACCAGAAUUCUUGCUAAAUUUGCGACGUUACCAUCGCAACUAAAUACAAUAUAAUUGUUAAAUAAGGACCAGACAUUUGGGUAUUGUGGUUCGCUAGUAUUUCCUCAUUUUUCACGGGUAGCUUUUUUUUUGCAGAUUCACUAAUUCUGUAUAAUUUAUUUGAUCCAAAUAAUUCAGCUUAAACUGAUCUAAAGAAUUUUUGGAUUCAAUUUUUGGUUUAAACUCAAAAUAAUUAAUCUAAAUUAUUUAAUAAUUUUAUGUUAAAUAUUAUAUACAAUUCGAGUUGAAUCUCACGGACAUCACAACAUUCCAAGCACGCAGUUGAAUCUCACAGGACAUCACCUCUCGCUAUUCGAUUGUUUAUCCUUCUUGUUUGCCUGUAGCCAUGGAUAAGCAUUGGUGGGCUAGCGUUGGAUUGCUGUUUAUUUGAUUUGUAUAUGCUAAAAAUAUUAAAGUUAAUUUUUUUAAUCACUGGUGAAAAAAUAUAGGAGUGAAUAUAAACUUAUUGUAAAAACUAAUAUAUAUACCUCAUUAUUUCUAAAAUUUAAAGCUAAUUCAAGCAAAAUACCGGCAACCCCAGAAAGGAUUGAGCUGGAUUUGGAGGCGGUAUAAAUCCAGAUGAUAAAACUGCAAACAGAGGCGCAGGAGCUAAAUUAAUAAGAUUGGCAUUUGAAGCCGCUGCUUUGUCGCUGUCGGAAGAAUGAUAUUAAGCAAGAGAAAGGAUUCGUGGGAAGAUGUAGAUAAAUCAGAGUCAUCAGACUUGCCAGUUCUUCGGGCUCAGCGAGAAAAUUACUUUUACAUUUUUUUUGUUGGAAUCUAAAAAUUAAUGAAAAAAAUUAUUUCUUAUUACUAUAAUUUUUUUUUUUCAAAUAAGGCUACUAUAUUUUUAUUAAAAACUAAAUAGAUUCUAUUCUAUUUUUAAUAAUAAAAUGAAAUGGUUCGAUUGAAACGGAUUUAAAUAACUUUUAAAUUUAUUCUUCACUCAUUUAAAAUGAUUAAUUUAAAUUAAAUUAUUUAAUAAUUUUAUAUUAAAUAUUAUAUAUUAUUUCGAUUUAUCAUAAUUUAUAAAUAUAAAAUAUUUUUUCAUAAGUAAGCAGUUAAUUAUUACACUCUCGUUGAAUUUUACAACAUUUUUAUCACAAUCGAAUACUGAAUCGAAUAUAAUCACUAAAUCAUUCCCGUAAACAAACAGCUGGCUAUUAUAUUUUUAUCCGCUAAUUUUUAAAACGUCCUCAUCGAAACUGAAUACUGAAUCGAAUAUAAUUGUUAAACCAUUUUCACAAUUAAAUAGCUAAUUAUUAUACUCUUUUAUGCUAAAUUUUACGACUAUUCUCAUCGCAACUGAAUACUGAAUCAGAUAUUAUUAUUAAAUCAUUUCUACAAACAAGCAGCGAAUUCCCAAGCCAAGCAGGUAACUAUUAUAUAAAAUAUAAUUUUUAUAUUUUUAAAUAUGAUUUUUAAUAAAAAUAAUAUUAAAAAUAUUAUUAUUAUUUUAAUGAAAAAUAAUAUUUAAAAUUAUAAAAUUAUAUUUUAAUGAUAUAACUAAAUUAGCUUUUAAUGUAAAGCUAUGGGUUUUAUUUAACGAAAAAAAUAUUAAAGUCAAAAUUUUUAAACACGGGUGAAAAAAUAUAGGAGUGAAUAUAAACUUAACAGCUUAAUUCAUAUAUUUUGCCUUUUUUAAAUUAAAGUUUUCUCUAUUAAUAUGUUAAAUUAUAAUAAAAUAAGGAAAAAUAUAUAUUAAACCCUUAAAAUUUAUUAAAAAAUUACUGUAGCUAAAAAAGUCUCAUAAAGUACUUAAACUAUCUAAAAAUGUGAUUAAAAUGAUUCUACAAUUCCAAUUAACAGAUAACAUAAAUAUUUUAAGGUAUUUCUAGAUUAAUUAAAAUUUUUAAAAAAUAUUUUUUAAUUGUAAAAAUUAUAGAUUGAAUUUCGACUUUAGUAAAUGUAUAGGAUUUAAACGAUAAUUAUUGAUUAUUAAUGGUAAAUUUAAACGAUAAUUUAGAACACACCGCAAUUAUUGAGAAGAAUGCUUUUUCCUUCACUUUUUUUUUUCUUUUAAAUUAGUCAUUUGUUGUCGCCAUCUUCUUCUUCACAGCAACAUUUCAUCCUUUUACAAUCAAACCAAAACACCCAAAAUGGCCGACGGAGUUCUCUCUAACGUUGUCGGAGAUAUCAUUACCAAGCUGGGUUCUCGAGCCCUUCAUGAGAUCGGAUUGUGGUGGGGCGUCAAAGGUGAGCUUAAGAAACUUGAGGCCACAGUUUCUAGUAUUCGCAAUGUUCUUCUGGAUGCUGAGGAGCAGCAGAAACUUAACCGUCAAGUGAAAGGCUGGCUUGAGAGGCUAGAAGAAGUUGUUUAUGAUGCUGAUGACUUGGUAGAUGACUUCGCCACUGAAGCUCUAAGGCGCCGAGUGAUGACUGGAAAUAGAAUGACAAAGGAGGUAUGUCUCUUCUUUUCGUCUUCAAAUCAACUUGUUUAUGGUUUUAAAAUGGGUCAUAAAAUUAAGGCGAUUAGGGAGAGGCUAGCUGAUAUUGAAGGUGAUAGAAAAUUUAAGUUAGAGGUUCGAACUGAUCAGGAGAGGAUUGCAUGGAGGGAUCAAACUGAGUCCUCUUUACCUGAAGUGGUUAUUGGGAGAGAGGGUGACAAAAAGGCAAUUACAGAACUUGUAUUGUCUUCCAAUGGUGAAGAGUGCGUUUCAGUCCUCUCAAUUGUUGGAAUGGGAGGGUUAGGGAAGACGACUCUUGCUCAAAUCAUAUUCAAUGAUGAACUGAUUAAGAAUUCAUUUGAGCGAAGAAUAUGGGUGUGUGUUUCAGAUCCUUUUGAUGUGAAAAUGGUUGUUAGAAAGAUUCUAGAGUCUGCAACAGAGAAGAAACCAGAAGAUCUUGAGUUAGAAGCACUGAAAUCUCAACUUGGAAGAAUUAUUGAUGGAAAGAAAUAUCUGCUUGUUCUAGAUGAUGUGUGGAAUGAGAAUAGAGAAAAAUGGCAGAAUUUAAAGAGAUUAUUAGUGGGUGGCUCUAGUGGAAGUAAGAUAUUAAUAACCACUCGCUCUAAAAAGGUGGCUGAUAUAUCUAGCACAAUGGCACCACAUGUUUUGGAAGGGUUGUCUCGGGAUGAGUCUUGGUCUUUGUUUUUGCAUGUAGCACUUGAGGGGCAGGAGCCAAAACAUGCAAAUGUAAGAGAGAUUGGAGAGGAGAUUUUGAAGAAAUGUUGUGGAGUUCCUCUUGCUAUAAAAACUAUCGCAAGUCUCUUGUAUGAGAAAAAUCCAGAAACUGAGUGGCCGCUCUUUUUAAGAAAUGAACUCUCAAGAAUAAGUCAAGACGAUAAUGAUAUUGUGCCAACACUGAAACUAAGUUAUGAUCAAUUACCAUCACAUUUGAAGCAUUGUUUUGCAUACUGCGCUUUAUGUCCAAAAGAUUAUGAGAUUGAUGUGAAAACAUUAAUCCAUCUUUGGGUUGCACAAGGGUUUGUUGAGGCACCAAUUACGAGUGAUCGUCUUGAGGAUAUUGGGCUUGAAUAUUUUAUGAAACUAUGGUGGAGGUCAUUUUUUCAAGAGGUGAAAAGAGAUAGAUUUGGAAAUAUCGAAAGCUGUAAAAUGCAUGAUUUAAUGCACGAUCUCGCAACCACAGUGGGUGAGAUAAGGAUCCGGCUAGUAAAUUCUGAUGCACCAAAUAUUGAUGAGAAAAUCCGACAUGUAGCAUUGAAAUUGGAUGUUGCACCACAAGAAGUUCUUAAUAUUGCAAAAAAAUCACGAUCAUUUCUUUUGCUUGAGAAACAUGAUUACAAUAAGCUGUUUAUUCAUAAAAAUUUAUGGUGCAUACGCGCUUAUGAUAUGAAUGAUUGUGGCAUUGAGAAGGUGGAUAGUUGUAUAAAAAUGCUAAAACAUCUAAGAUAUUUUGGUGUUUCUGGGAAUGUGAAACUUAGAACACUUCCAAAUUCUAUUACUGAUUUGCUGAAUUUACGAGUAUUAAAUGUCUCUAAUUGUCGCAGGCUCAAAGAAUUGCCUAAAGAUAUUAAAAAGCUUGUGAAUCUUAGGCAUUUAUAUUGUGAAGGUUGUAAGUCUUUGACUCAUAUGCCACGUGGGCUUGGGCAGUUGACUUCACUUCAGACGUUGUCACAGUUCGUAGUUGCAAAAGGGCAUAUUUCCUCAAAGGAUGUUGGAAAAAUAAAUGAAUUGAAUAAACUUAACAAUUUGAGGGGAAGUCUUGAAAUUACAAAUCUAGGUUUUGUGGAUAAUGAGAUUGUAAAUGUUAAUUUGAAAGAGAAGCCACUCCUUCAAUCAUUGGUAUUACAUUGGAAGGAGAGUUGGGAAGAUUCAAAUGUUGAUAGAGAUGAAAUGGCAUUUCAAAAUCUCCUACCACAUCCCAAUCUUAAAGAGUUAAAUGUGGUUCGCUAUGGAGGCAGGAGGUUCCCAAGUUGGUUCUCUUCCCUCACGAAUCUUGUCCAACUCCAUAUAUGGAAUGGCAAUGAAUGUCAGCAUCUCCCACCAAUGGAUCAAAUCCCUUCUCUUCAACAUCUAGAGAUUUUGGGAUUCGAUGAUUUAGAAUACAUGGAGAUUGAGGGACAACAAACAUCAUUCUUUCCAUCCCUAAAGACUCUCAAUCUACAUGGUUGUCCUAAGCUUAAAGGAUGGCAGAAGAAGAGGGAUGAUUCGACAGUACUUGAGCUACUCAAAUUUCCUUGUCUUUCAUAUUUCUCUUGUAAUAACUGCCCGAGUUUGACCUCCAUCCCUCAGUUUCCAUCUCUCGAUGAAUCACUAAAUUUGCAAAAAGCAAGCCCACAACUUGUGCACCAAAUAUUUACACCGUCAAUCUCUUCUUCUUCCUCAAUCAUUCCUCCUCUCUCUAAAUUGAAGCACCUUUCGAUUGUGUACAUUGAAGAGCUCGAAUCUCUACCUCGAGAUGGACUGCGGAAUCUCACUUGUCUUCAAAGACUAACCAUUGGGUUUUGCCCGGCAUUAAAGUGUCUGCCUCAGGAGAUGCGUUCCCUCACCUCUUUACGAGAAUUGAAUAUCGAGAUAUGUCCCCAAUUGAAGGAAAGAUGUGGAAAUAAAAAGGGUGCUGAUUGGGAAUUCAUUUCACACAUCCAAAAUAUUAAAGUUGAUAGACAAACAAUUCAAAAGGAGGGCCGGUAUCUACUGGAUGAUGAAGCUUCGGGUAAGUUGGUGCUUUUUCUUUCCAAUUUGCAAAUUGAACUUAUAUGAGAAAAUCUUCACUCUAUGAUUCUAUUUACACAGAUCAGUGAAGGAUAAAUUUUCAACUGUUGGAUGUGUUUCUUCCAAAAUGAGCACUGUAUUGCUUUUGUAUUCGUAAGUAUCCUUUUGUCAUUAUUUCUUUACAAUCAAGAUCAAUAUACAGAGUACCAAUUUUUUCUAUUAUUUUUCUUUUUUAUAAUUGAGAAUUUAUUUGCUUUAUGAUAAAAUUUUAACCCUGUUUUCCCACAUAUACAGGCUCAUCAAGCUAGAGGAAUCAUUUAUUUGUUUUUGACGCACCUGAAAUUCUAAUAAAUUGGGAAGUGGAAAACAAAUUCAAAGAGAUUUUAAUUGCAUUGGCAGGUCAUUCUUCUAACCAUCAUUUUUAUUUAUCUUUUAAUGUAAUUCUGCCUUCAUUCUUUUCAUGGAUAUAACUGAUUAAUUUUGACUCUACGUGCAGAAGUUAGUAGAGGACGUGGAAAAGAUGUUAUUGCUGCAAUUACUUUGAUAUAUCUUCUAAAUUAGGAUGAAAAUUGAUUGUGCUGAAGGUGAUUGUCAUAUGUCAAUUUCUCUUCACAUGCACCAUUCCUUUGUAAAUUAAAUCAGCAGCAUAUCUUAAUUAUUUGGUAUUUAUUCAAGUUUUUUCAAUGUCAAAUGGAGAGGUGGAGAAAACCAUUUAUUCUGAAAAGAAAAUGUGAUUUCUGAGUAAACAUCAAAACCCAAUAGUCUUACCUUUGUUUACUCUGAAGUUCUUCACAAGAAAAGAAAAAGCAAAGCAUUCACCUGGUUAAAACCUUAUUUAUUUAAGGAGAUUUCUGGGUGCAUAUGUUCUUGGCGAGGGGAUAUGCAUUUUGAAUAAUUUUAACUGGACUUUCAUCUCCCAUCAAUGGCUUAUCAAGUAUGAGUUAUCAUUGGGAUGCUGUUGAAAUCAUGGGAAGUGGUGAACCAAUGCAAAGGCUUGCCGAAAUCAUGCAUUGGCAGGUCAUGCUUCUAUCUAUCUUAUUAUUAUUGUUAUUAUUAUUAGCUGUGUAAUUCUGCAUCCCUUUUAAUUUCACGGAUUUAAAGCUUAAUUUGAUUCCUUGUGCAGAAGUUAGUCGAACACAUUAGAUACCACAACUACAUGCCAUGGAGAAAUUCCUUGAUUGGCUUGGCUUGGCAUAAUUCGCCUUGAAAGAACUGCUAUUAAUGUGUGUGGCCUUCCGUAGAAGAAUUUUCAAUUAUUGGAUGAAAUCCCCCUAGUUAUUGCUUGUAAAGCAAAUCUGUGAUUUAAUGAUGAAUCUGGCUUGAAACAAAUGCUAAAUCAAUGGUGUGAAAAUCCUACAUCUAGCAAUUAUCUUCAUAACUUACACCUGCGGCGAAGAUGAUGGAGAUUCACUAAGCUACGCAGGUUGUGCCCUUGACAUCCCAGAAUAAAAACUCACCGGGUUAAGUUUCCUGUCUGUCACAGUUCAGAAAACAAGAUACAGAGUAAUCUUGCUGAGCGGGAAGCAGAAAUGAAGCUGAAUGAUGGGAGUUUUGCACACUUCUUCGAAUGACUUGCUGCAGGCCUGCGUAUUUCAGGAUCUAGAUUCUCACUCGAGACCUCUGUUUUGAUCAUCCAACAUGCAAUGCCCAGACUCAUCUGUGCUGCUUUUUUGUUUCUAAUUUCUCCGAUUUUAAGUAGUUUUGCUAUUAUGCUAAUCAUUUGUUCAUUCAAUGCAAACAACAUUAUUUCCCAUUUUUUCCUGAAAAAUCAGUUUUUGUAUAAAUUGUGGUGCCAGAAUAUGUAAGAGCACUAAAUUUUAUAUGAAUUUUGUAAGAGUAUAUCACUAGAACCAGAAAUCAGAUAGAGCAUUAAAUGGAUUGGCUAUGAAUUCUGAAUAUAUUUUGAAAAGACCGAAUUAAAUCUGAAUUGGUGGAUUACUCAUUUUAUUUUUCUUGCGUCUUGUUCUUUUUCUUGCGUCUUAUUAUUUGAAAUGAGAUAUGAAAUCAGAUAAAAGAAAAAAAAAAAAAAAGAAAACUUCCUCAGAAAUCAGACCUGUAAUGAACUUUAUCUACCAGUGAAACAAGUAACGCAUAUAAUAUGUUUAUAUCCAGUUGUAUACAAAUUGUUACAUAUUUUACAAAUUGUAUUGGUCCAUUUUUUUCAAGUAAAGACAAUCCUGAAGGGUAAUGAUAUCUUGCACCAAAAGGAGUUAAAAGACAAAUGAAUUUGAAAGGCGAAUGUAAUAUUUGGGGUGGGAGUUCGUGAGAAUAAAUACUAAAAUUAGAUAUUGAAAACCGUAUAGGGGUAUUUAAGGAGUUGGAAUAAAGAAUAAAUAAUUAAAUACUGAAAUUAGAUAUUUGAAAUUGAAAAUUAAUAUUUAAAAUUAGUAGUUAAUUGAGAAAAAAAAAGAAUAAUUCAAAACUCUUUUUUAACUCUCUCAUUCUCUUGCUAAAAGAUGAUAAUUCAUUAAAUAAAUAAUCAAAAUGAGACUGAUUACACAAAUUACAACAGAUAUUAAUAACUCUUACAAAUAAAGUAAAAAAAUAUGGUUAAGAUAUGGUGAAUUGUAUUAUAAUCAACUAACCAUUAUAUUAUUGCAUCUACAGUAAAAAGUAUACUUUAAAUGAAAUAUUAACUAAAAUUUAAGCAACCUAAGUAUUUAGGAAAAAUCUCAUCAGUCAACAUUUUUUGAGAUUUUUUCUUGAUACUCGAAACUUCUUUCUUAGCUCUUCAAACUUACUUGCAAUGCAGCAACUUGAUCUCUGAAUUCUUCUCUUAGAAAAUGAAAUUUCACUUUAAUGUACUUAGUUAUUCCAUGUUAAACAAAAUUAUUUGCAAUGGUAAUGGCUGGUUUAUUAUCAUACCAUACAACAGUAGACUCACAUUGCUCAAUUCCCAAAUCCUUUAGUAACUUCCUAAGCCAAAUUGAUUGAUUUACAGCACCAGUAGCUGAAAUAUAUAUUCAGCCUCAACAGUAAAUUAAGCUACCACAUCUUGCUUCCUUUAAUUCCAAGAGAAAUGAACUGAACUAAGAAAAAAACAUAGCUUAGUGCUCUUUGAAUCAUCAACACUUCCAGCCAAUCACUAUCCACAUAACCUUCAAGCUUGACAAUUUUUCCUCUUUGAAACCAUAAGCCAAAUUCAGCAAUACCCUUCAAGUAUCUCAAUAGUCUCUUACCUGCAACAAAAUACAAUUAACUAGGAAAAUGCAUAAAUUUAGAUAAUAAGCUUGUUGAAUAUAUUAAAUCAGGUCUAAAAGCAGUCAAAUAUAGCAAACUACCAAUCAAACUUCUUCUGUACAGUGAAGCAUCUGCUAGUUCAGCUAUAUGAUCCUUGCUAAGUUUCUCAUUCACAAUAAGAGGAACAACCACAAACUUGUAUUUAUCCAAAUUAAACUUUUUCAGCAUAUUUCAUUUGAGACAUAAAGAUACCAUCAACACCUUGUUCAAUUUCAAGCCCAAGAAAAUAAGUCAUAAUUUCCAAAUAUGAUUUUUCAAAUUCAGAUUGCAUUCUCAACUUAAAAUUAUCCAAUAACUGAGAAUUUCUACUAGUCACUAACAUUUCAUCAAUAUAAAGUGACACAAUCAACUGAGAUUCAUCUCCAACAUUGUUCACAUACAAUAUUAGCUUAUUUUCACUCCUCCUGGAUCCAUUUUGGAUUAGAUGUGAGUCGAUCAUUGCAUACCAAGCUCUUAGAGCUUGUUUCAGGCAAUAAAGUGCCUUCUUAACCUUAUACACUUUCUCUUCUUAGCCCUCUACUUCAAAUCCUUCAGACUGCUACACAUAAAUCUCCUCAUUUAGCAAAUCAUUCAAGAUUGCAAAUUUGACAUCAGUGAAACACUUGCCAACCAUUUUAGAUUGUUAAAGACAACAACAAUCUAAUAGUGUCAUGCUAGCAACUGGAGCAAAAGUAUCUCCAUAAGCAACCCUGGUUACUGAGCAUAACCUUUCAUAACAAGUCUGGCUUUGUACUUGAAGAUAGAGCCAUCAGAAUUUAAUUUAAUUUUGUAAAUCCACUUCACACUAAUUGCAUUUUUACCCUUUAGUUUGGAAGCCAAUUCCCAGGUUUCAUUCUUCUCAAUUACUGCAAUUUCUUCUUUUAUAGCAUGCUGUCAUUCUUUAGUUUGAGAAGCUUCUUCAUAGCAGCUUGGUUCUACCACACUAAUUGCAUUUUUACCCUUUAGUUUGGAAGCCAAUUCCCAGGUUUCAUUCUUCUCAAUUACUGCAAUUUCUUCUUUUAUAGCAUGCUGUCAUUCUUUAGUUUGAGAAGCUUCUUCAUAGCAGCUUGGUUCUACCACAGCCACAUUACAUCUUUCAUAAAUCUCAAAAAGAGACUUAAUUUAAAGGCAUGUGCUUCAUUAUCGAAAUUAGACUCCUUUUCAGAUUCUAAAAUAGAAUUAGACUCGUUUUCAGAUUAUGAAUCAGAAUUAGAUUCUUUUUCAAAUUUUAUAUCUCCAUUGCUAGAGCUUUCAAAUUUUAUAUCUCCAUUGCUAGAAUUAGAUUCUUUUACUGCUCCAACAAUCUGCUCUUUCUGAAAGUCCCAAUAGGCUCCUUCAUUAAACUUCACAUCUCUACUAACAACCACUUUCUUGGUUUGCACAUUAUAGAUCUUUUAGCCUUUUGAUGAAGUUAUAUAGCUUAGAAAAAUACCCAAAUCAAAUUUAUCAUCUAGCUUCACUCUCUUGACAUUAGAAACAAGUAUGUAGCAAACUUAUCCAAAGACCUUCAAGUGGCUUGCAGAAGGCUUUGACCCAAACUAUGCUUCAGCUGAGUUUUUCCUUCCACUGCUCUAGUACACAGCUGUAUAAAUAGUUUCAGCCCAAAACAUCUUUGGUAGCACUUUCUCUUUCAACAUACAUUUGGCUAUUUCAAUAAUUGUUAUGUUCUUUAUUUCAGAAACUCUAUUCUAUUGAGGUGAAUAAGGAACUGAAAGUUGAUGUUGAAUACUAGUAUCUUCACAUAAUUUGUUAAAUUCCUUCGAGAUAUACUUUUUACCAUUAUCAGACCUCAGUUUGAAAGACACAACCACUCUGCUUUUCAACUAAAGGUUUAAAUUUCUUAAAUACAUUGAAAACUUGACUCUUGCUACUCAGAAAAUACAUUCAAGUCAUUUCAAUCAAGUCAUCUAUAAAGGAAAACCAUAGUGUUUCAAUUGUAAAAAAUUUAGUCAUUUACAAAAAAUUACAAAUUUGAAAAUAAAAGGAAAAGUAAAUUUAAUUAAAAUUAAAAAAAAAAGCUUUAUUUUGAAUUAAUUGGUGAGAGGUGCACUAAAAAAUUUUAUUUUGGAGAGAAGUGCUCAAAUUUAAAAAAAAAAAGAAAAAGAAAAAGAAAAAAAUCAACGAUGAUAAAAAGUUAGUAUAGUAAUUUAGAGAGAAGUGCUGUGAGAUCGGUGAAAAGUGUAUCAGCAAUUGUUGCAGUGAGGAGAAAUGCUUCACAAAUUAAUAGUUGGAGAGAAAUACUCCAUCCAUAAAAUUUAAAUUUUGAGAAAAUUUUGAAUUAAAGGAAAGUAUUUGAGAUUUUAAUUCAAAUUUUCAAAUAUUUAUUUUGAUAUUCAGUUAUUGUUUUUUACUAUUCUAGAUUUUUUAUUAUUCAAACAAACUAUAAGAUUUGUUAAGAUAUUUUAAAAUUUUUUUAAGUUUUGAAUUUUAAUUGUAGCCUAUACAAAGAAAUCUUAAUUUCAAUUUUAACAAGAGAGUUCUCGGCAGAGUUCUUUCUUCGGUUCUCUAUUUUUCUUCUUUUUCUUUCCUAAUAUUAUGAUUCAAAUUCUCAACAUAAACAAAACAUUAAAUAAAACUUAAGUAAAAAAGUCUCAUCAGUCAACAAUUUCCAUUGCUUUUCAUCCAACAGCCAAAAUCAAAUGCUGAGGAAGCCCUUCUCCUUCAAGCUUUCAAUAGUGUCCUUCAAACUAACCUCCAAAGGAAUGAAGUCAAUACCCAAAGUUUUCGCUUUUUCCUUGGAUACCCCAUACUUCGUUAAGUAAUUCAAUCCGGAGUCACAUCUGCAACUAAGAUGAUAUUCCAUGAUUAAAUUAAUCAUUCAAAACAACUAUUUCUCAGUAAUCCAAAUAAUUAUAAAACUUAGUCAUUCAUAUAGCUGGUCCAACAUGAGCAUGCAAAAAUAUAAAAAAAACCAUACUUUUUUGGAAGGUGCAAUGUAGGAUAAUGUUGCUGCACAAUCUUCAUAACCUCAGAGAAGUGAAAGUCGCUUUCAAUUAAACAAUAUCUGCCACUAGCUGAAGGAAUCUCCAAAGCCUGAAUAUGUGCAUAAGCAACAUCUCUCACAUCGAUGGAUCUAUAAUAUGCAUCAGGAUACUCUUGAGCUCCUCCUACCCAAAAAACAAAAUCAACCUAUUGUUUCAUGAUAAAUCAUGUAAUAUUGUGUGAUUAAAUUAAUGCUAAAGUUUCAAGAUAUUUGGUAAUCAAAUGGACAUGUCGUCUUAUGUUGGUGGAGCACACCAUUUAUGAGAUUGAAAAGUAUCUCGAUAGAGCUAUUAAUAGUUGGCUGCAAAAGAGGACCAAGGACAAACACUGGAUGUAUUGUAACAAAAUCCAUCUUCUUGUUUUUUGCAAAUUCCCAAGCAGCCUGCUCAGCUAACGUUUUCCCAGGUUGAUACCAGAGCUGGAGAAAGAAAAGACCAAAUUAUCUCAUAAACAAAACAGUUAAAGAUAUAAAAUCAAGUUGAUUUCAUUGUAUCAUCACAACCAUCCAAUUGGGAUGGCUAAAUUAGAAGUAAUCGAGAUUGAUAUGCUCAAGGACAAACCAUGAUGGUCAUAUAUCCCUUUUUCAUAUUCUUUUACCCUUUACCCCUUCUUUAGGGUGAUUCAUCUUGCAAGAAAAGAAUUCAAAUGAAUUCUUACAAAAUUAUGCAAAAAUUUGACCUCGUUUAAAAUGAAAAUUUUUUAAAUUAAAAAAGAAAAUUGAUUUCACUCAUUCCAUACAAAAAAAAAUUGAUAGAAAAAAAAAAAUCAAUUGAAUUGAAUUCUGGUGAAAUUCUUGAUUCCAAACGGAGGGUUAAGCAAUUAAUUUCAGGGCCAAAAGAUGACAAACCUUCUGUUCCGCACAAACAGCUGGAUCUGAAAACCAAGUCUCAUCAACAACUACAUCAGGGGCCAGAGUUUUUCCAUUGUAUGGAAGAGAAGCAAAUGAAGAUGUUAUAAUCACUCUCUUGAUAGAAGGAACUUUUGCACAAGAUCGAAGAACAUUUAGAGUUCCCUUCACUGCAGGAUCAACUAGUUCUGCCUGACACAUCGAAAUAGCCAGCGGCGAACAGUUACAUCUUAUAUGACACUAAGCCUAUCAAGCAGUAGUUAUGUCAACAUAAUCAAAUAACACAGAUAGUGCACAAGUUAUUAUAGAGAAAUAUGAGAAAAUGUAAUGCCAAAUGACAACAGAACAGUCAGAAAUUGCAGUUUAGGUCCAAAGGGAGGAACUCUAUCACAUAUAAAGGCAGUGAAAAGGUUGUCAAAGAUGAUGGACCUGAGGAUCCGCAUUGGCUUGAAGAGAUACAGGGGAAGCUGUGUGGAAAACAGCUUCACAACCAUCAACUGCAGCAUCAAAAGAUCCUUCUUCCAAUAAAUCAGCUUUGAGCAAGUGAAGCCUUUCCUUGGCUCCCUCAAGUGCAAGCAAGUGUGCAGUUUUCUUCAGAUCAUCUGGGGUACAGAAUACAGAUUCAAUGAACUGAAGUAUGAGUCCAAUGAGAACAUUGAAAGUUAAAGAAACACUAAAACCAGCAAACUAAUUUAAGAUUUCACAUCAGUUUAGUAAAAGUUUACUCAUAUGCUAGGAUCUUGCUUUCUUUCCAUCGUCCUUGCUUGGUGUUCAAAAUAAUGAUACAUGAAAAGUUUAAGUCAUUUAGCUACUCAAUCGAAGUGAGGGCUGAUUCAAUUCAUUCUUAACAAGCAAACUGCAGGAUAUAAAAUUAUCAAUAAUCAACAAAACCACAUAAAAAAGUGCUAUAAGCAAUUAAAUACCCAUGAAAUUGUAUAAAAAGAAGUCAAAACCAGAAGUAAAACAUAAAAGAUUAGAUCCACAGCCGCACAGCCACAACCAAAGUCACUAUAAAAUCAAACCCUCAUUCAAAGAAAUCAAGAUUCACCAAUGACCCAACUGAGCUUGUAGGAAAAAAAGAGACAGAUAGGGAGGGAUUUACUUGGAUUACGAACAGUGGCCUUGACAGUGUAAGCUCUUUGAAGCAAGAAUUUGAUUAGCCAGGAGGCUAUGUAACCAGACCCUCCUGUCACACAGACCACCUUUCCUUCUCCACUCAUUUUUUCUUUGAAUUAGUUCUAACAAAGGUCUAAUCUUUGCAAGCAAAAUAGAUGCCAAAGAUUUUUUUUUUUUCCAAAAAAGAGCUAAAGACUAGGUAAUUUACUCCCCUGCUUAAAAUCUGGAUAGCUACUGGUAAAUUAUUUAUUUAAUAAUCUCACCUAACAUCACAAUAUGGUUUACAUAAAGAAAUCAAUAAUAAAAUAAAAAUAGAAAGUGGAACCACCAGCAACUCUGACGGAGCUGCCACCAACAGUACCUCAGAAAGCAAAAAAAAAAAAACCCGAUUCAAGCAAAAUACCGGCAAUCCCAGAAAGCAUUGAGCUGGAUUUGGAGGCGGUAUAAACCCACAUAAUGACUGCAAACACAGGCCGAAGAGCUGAACUAAUAAGAUCGGCAUUUGAAGCCGCUGCUUUGUCUUUGUCGGAAGAAUGAGAUUGAGCAAGAGAAAGGAUUCGAGGGAGAUGUAGUAGGCGAAUCAGAUUUGCCAGUUCUUCGGGCUCAAAUACGAGAAAAUUACUAUUAGAUUUUUUUUGGAGGAAUCUAAAAAUUAAUGGAAAUAAGUAUUUUUUCUAAUUAAGUCUAAAUAAUUUUAAUAUUUUUUUUUCAAAUAAGUCUGCAAUUUUUUAUUAAAAGGUACAUACAUACAUUCCACCGUAUUAGAAUAUUCGUUAAUAAGAUAUAAUUUCUAUAAUUUUUAAAAAUUAUUUUUAAUUAAAAUAAUAUUAAAAAAUAUUAGUAUUUUAAUCAAUAAAUAUUAUCAGAAAUUAAUCAAUAAAUAUUAUAAUUAUUUAUAAAUAAAUACUUAUAUAUAUUUUUUAAAUUAAUUUUUUAAAUUUAUUAAAUUUAAUAUUUUAUUUUUAAAAAUAAAUUAAUGAAAUAAAAAUUAAAUCAAAAAUUUUGACAUAAGCAUUUAAAUUCAAGUCCAAACAGUUCUUUAUCGUUUAAUUUGUUUUUUAAUAAUUUUUUAUUAAUUAAAAAAUAUUAAAAUUUUAUUAUUUUAUUAUUUUUUACAUAUGAAAUAUUAAAAAUUAAUAAAUAAAAAAUUAAUUUAUAAAUAUAAAGACUUAUUAAUAAUUAUAAUUAUUGUCCCUUGAAGCAAUCCAAGAGGGGUGAAUUGGGUUUAUAAAAAAUUUAAGGGCAAAAGCACAAAUUAGAGAGGAAUAAGGAAGAAUAUGAUCAAACACAAAGAUUUAUAAAGGUUCAUUUAUCUCAAACCUACGUCCUCUUCUCAAGGCCCACCUUGAGAGUUCAACUCCACUAUCAAAUCUUCUUUGGACGAAGAUUAAAAUCCUUACAAUCUUAGAGCAAGCCUUUGCUCUUUACAAUUCUCCUUUUUCACUCAAGAGCAAUCCUUUGCUCAAAAUCACACCUACUACAGUAGAAUCACUCAACAACCUUUACUCACUCUUGAAAAGCCAAACAAUUACAACUCAAAACAAACUUUCAAGAAAUUAAUGUUUUGGCUCAAGGUUUAGAGAGAGAGAGAGUAAAAAAUGCUUUGAUCUCAAUAAGUAUUUACUUAGAUGGUCGUUGUAACCUUUUCAUAUCAAAAAUUCAUGGUAUUUAUAGUUCAGUCAUAAAUAUGGCCGUUGGGAGUGCAUUAAAUGCAAAUAGAGUCGUUUAUGUUCAGAAAUAACCGUUAUACCGUGCCCAGAAAAAUUCAGGUUUGGUGGCCGAACCAUUUGAGGUGAAAAACAUACUCCUUUAAAAAAGGACUUUCGGCGGCCUAAAGUCAAAGUUCGGCGGCCGAACAUGUGGGACUUUCGUCUUUGUCCCUCACUUUCGGAAGCCAAACUUUAGGCUUCGGAGGCAGACCUAAAACACACUUUCGGCGGCCGAAGGUUAAUGUUCGACAGCCGAAAGUGUGGGACUUUCGUCUCUGUCCCUCACUUUUGGAAGCUGAAGGUUACACUUUAGGGGGUUAGUUGAAGACCCACUUUCGGCGGCCGAAAGUCAAUGUUCGGCGGCCGAACAUAAAAAUCAUAACUUAGGCUAUAAAAUCCAUUUUUCAAUCCGUUUGAAUUUUUGUAACCUAUAUUUUUAGAUAUUUUAUUUUGAUAAAGAAUAAUUUCAAAAUCACUUCUUUUGAAAAAUUUCAUUUUAGUCUCCAAAAGUCGAUUGCUUAGAAAAAUUGGUCAUAUUUAAAAAACUUUUAGAAAAGCAAGAAACCUUGAGCCAUCACAAUUAAUUACUUGAAAUUCACAAUAAAUAAAUUGACAAUGCAUAAUAAGAAAAAAAUACUUUAUGAUCCCUUUCUUAUAGUAUGCUUCCAAAAUUAGCACUUUUCACUUUUGUGAGUGAAGCAAUUUCAUUUAUUUCAAUAAAGGACCUGCAAGCUCAAUACAAACACCUUUGAAGAUAAUUAGUAGCACACCAAUUGUUUAUUAAUCAUCAAAAUAAGCAUUAAGACAUUUAGGUCUAACAAUAAUUUUUAGAGAGCAAUCUAUAUAAAAAUAUAGGGAUUAAUUUUAACUAAAAAUAUGAAGUUUAAAUUAAGAAAUCAUUUUAUUAAUCAAAUAAAAUUUAAUCAACUAAAUUUAAAAUUAUAAAGACUAAAAUAUAGAUUUUAUUAAAUAUCACGAAAUUAACUAUAAUUUUUAAUAAUAUUUAACUAUGUUACAAAAAAAUUCUGAUUACAAAUUAAAAUAUAAAAUUCUAUUUUAUAAUUAUUAAUAUUUUUUAGUGAUUUAUUAAUUUCUAGUUAUUUAUUUAGUUAAAUAGUAAAAUAAAUGAUAAUGGAGAGAAAAAGUUUUAUUAGGGGCAUUCUAAUCCACGAAAACAUUGUUAUGUAACUUUUGUAGAAUUUAUUUUAAAUUUAUUAAAAUUUAGGAAAUUAAUUUAAAUUAUAAUCAAAUUUCAUGAAAUUCAAUUUCUAGAAUUAAAUUUUAAUUUAUUCUAAUUUUUUUUUUUAUAAAAUGAAUCACACCAAACGAAAGGAUAAAAUAGCAAAUUUUCCAAUCGGUUACAUUUUAACAAACUGGACUUUCUGCACAUAGAAAAUCCUUGUGAAAAUGAAAAAAGAACAUAACAGAUUUCAUUAUCAGCAUUACUUAUACUUCAAAAUAACAUAAGAUUCAGGGGCUUUUUGCAAAAUUAGGGUCGGGCCUAUUUUUAUUUCCGAAUUUGGGGUUGAAAAAAUUUUAUUUGCGAUUUUGGGGUUUGACUGUGGCAGCCGAAAAGGACGCCUGGCGCCACUUAAAGUGGCGCCAGGCUCUAUUUUUUUUUUUUUUAAAUGUCUGGCGCCACUUAAAGUGGCGCCACACAAUUGUUUUUUUUUUUUAAAUUGUUUUUAUUAUUAUUUUUAAUUAUUAAUAUAUUAUAAUAAAAUAUUUAUAUUAUAUUAAUUUUUUUUAUUUAUAUUAUAUUUUAUAAUAAUAAAUAUUUUUUAUAAUUUUAAUAUAUUAAUAUUUAAAAUUUUUAUUAUUAAUAUUUAAAUAAAAAAUUACUGGAAUUAUAUUUCAGAAUUAUAAAAUUGAUAUUAUGUUGCGGUGAGAUGUAUAAAAAUAAUUCAAUCAUAUCAUAUAAAGUGAUAAAUUUUUUUAUUAUUUUAAUAUAUUAAUACAUUAAUUCUGUAAUUAAAUAGUACAAAAUGUUAUUUUAUAACUUUACAAAAUACUAAGCGUAGUUAUAAAUAAUUAUUGUAGUUAUAAAUAAUUAUUAUAUUAUCUUACUAUUAGAUAUUAUACGAAAAUUGAGUUAUUUAUAAUUUAUUAAAAAAUUAAUUAAUUAAUCUAAUUCAAAGUAAAUUAAUUAAAUUUAUUAUAUUUGAUAAAUUAUAAACAAUCAGGUGAUCGCAUACAACAUUUAAGUAGCAUAUAAUAAUAUUCUAUAAUUCUAAAUAGCAGUUAAUAAAAAGUAAAUUUNNNNNNNNNNNNNNNNNNNNNNNNNNNNNNNNNNNNNNNNNNNNNNNNNNNNNNNNNNNNNNNNNNNNNNNNNNNNNNNNNNNNNNNNNNNNNNNNNNNNNNNNNNNNNNNNNNNNNNNNNNNNNNNNNNNNNNNNNNNNNNNNNNNNNNNNNNNNNNNNNNNNNNNNNNNNNNNNNNNNNNNNNNNNNNNNNNNNNNNNNNNNNNNNNNNNNNNNNNNNNNNNNNNNNNNNNNNNNNNNNNNNNNNNNNNNNNNNNNNNNNNNNNNNNNNNNNNNNNNNNNNNNNNNNNNNNNNNNNNNNNNNNNNNNNNNNNNNNNNNNNNNNNNNNNNNNNNNNNNNNNNNNNNNNNNNNNNNNNNNNNNNNNNNNNNNNNNNNNNNNNNNCUGUAUUAAUAUAUUAAAAUAAUAAAAAAAUUUAUCCAUCUAAUCGCAAUAUAAUAUUAAUUUUAUAAUUCUGAAAUAUAAUUUCAGUAAUUUUUUAUUUAAAUAUUAAUAAUAAAAUUUUUUAAAUAUUAAUAUAUUAAAAUUAUAAAAAAUAUUUAUUAUUAUAAAAAUAUAAUAUAAAUAAACAAAUAUAAUAUAAAUAUUUUAUUAUAAUAUAUUAAUAAUUAAAAAUAAUAAUAAUAACAAUUUAAAAAAAAAAAACAAUUGUCUGGCACUACUUUAAGUGGCGCCAGACAUUUAAAAAAAACAAAAAAGAGCCUGGCGCCUGUCAAAGAGGCGCCAGGCGUCCUUUUCGGCUGGCACGUGGCAGUCAAACUCCAAAAUCGCAAAUAAAAUUUUCUCAACCCCAAAUCCGGAAAUAAAAAUAGGCCCGAUCCUAAUUUUGUAACAGACACCAAGAUAGCCCUUGUCUUUCAGACAUUCAAUGGUGUCCACAACACUCACCUCCAAGGGAAUGAAGUUGAUGCCUAAACUCUUAGCUUUCUCCUUUGAAACCUCAUAUUUUAAUGCAAAAGGCUUCUCAUCUUCACAUCUGCUAAGCAAGAAGAACAUCAUGCACAAUAAUUUCUACAACGGUCAAAUCCUGUAUCCCUCAAAAAAGAAAGGAAAGAAAAAAGAAAUACUUUUCAGGAAGUUGCAGAGCAGGGUAUUGUUCAUGAACGAUCUUUAAGAACUCGGAGAAAUGUACAACUCUUCCGACUAAACAAUAUCUGCCAUUAGCAGAAGCUUGUUCAAAAGCUUGAAUAUGUGCAGAUGCAACAUCUCUAACAUCUACAAAUCUGUAAAUUUCAUUAGGAAAUGUUUCUCCUGUAUGCAAGGAACCCACAAUUCACAAAGAAUGGACAUGUUGGAGAUCAUUACAUUUAAAGACAGAACACUGAGAAAGAGUUUACCAUUUAUGUAGUUUAGAAUAACCUCCACAGUGACAUUUAGAGUUGGCUGUAAGAAAGGACCAAUUACAAAUCCUGGAUGUAUUGUGACAAUGUCAAUUCCACUUUCUUCUGCAAAUUUCGAGGCAGCCUUCUCAGCCAUGGUUUUUGCAUACAGAUACCAAUGCUAGAAAACCCAGAAAAAUUAAUUAAAACCCAUAAAAAGUGUAAUGCUAUUGAAACAAGGUUCUGAUAGUGACCAAUGUGAAUCUAGAGCUUGCAGAAGCUGUGGUAGUUUGAAUUUCAGGCAACAUAUUCUCACCUUUAUUGACUCACAAUAGGUAGGAUCUGAAAACCAAAUCUCAUCAAUUACCACAUCAGGUAUCAGAGGCUUUCCGUCGAACAUAACUGAUGCCAUUGAAGAUGUUAUGAUCACUCUCUUGAGAGAAGGGACUUUUGUACAUGAUCUGAGAACGUUUAGAGUUCCCUUCACUGCAGGAUCAAUCAGUUCUGCCUGAAAAUAUUGGCUAACACUGAAUCAAUGGGUUGUGACAAACCCAUAGUACUAAAAAGACACGCACUUAUAACCGCAAUAAAAGAGAGAAAUUCGACUAUAAGGUCUACACCUGUGGAUCAUUUGUACAAAAGAGUGGACAAGCUGUGUGAAAUACACCUUCACAUCCAUCAAUGGCAGAAUCAAAAGAUCCAUCUUCCAGUAAAUUUGCUUUGAACAAGAAGAGUCUCUCUUUAGCUCCAUCAAGUGCAAAUAGGUGUUCAGUUUGCUUUGGAUCAUCUAUACAACAGAUGUAUAAUCAGACUCCUUAAUGGGCAAGUUGGAAACUAACCAGUGGUGAAAACUUGAUUUUAACUCACUGAUUUGGGGUGAUAAGAUUAAAAAAACAAAACCCAGAACUCAAAUUUUGAAGAUUUUAAUCAGAAACCAAAAAUAUCAUCCUGACUUUAUCACACUGAGAUCAAAAGAAACAAAACAGAAUAAAUAAGAAGGAGAUGGAUACUAACUUAGAUCAAGAACAGUGGCUUUCACUGUAUAUCCAUGAUGGAGCAAGAACUUGACCAGCCAUGAUGCUAUGUAACCUGACCCUCCUGUUACACAUACUACUUUUCCUUCUCUAUUCAUUCUCUUCUUCUCUCAUUAACUAAUGUGCAACUCCAUUUUCUUGUACAGCUCAAAGAUUUACUAAAAUGAAAAUCUUAUAUGAACCGACGUAAUAAUUUGGUCAAUUAUCAUUGUUGUAGAAUUAUGAUGAAGUUGUUAGAUUGGUCCACAAACAAACAUGUCAGAUGAUGUUGAUUCUGUUUGUCAUAUAGUCAUCUAGAUUAUAUAAUAGACAAUGCAAUUUUUUUAAUUAUUCAUUUUUCUGUUUGGUUCCCAGGAAAUAUAGACAAAAGCACAGAAUAUGAACUUGAAGAAUUUGAUAAGAGAAGAUGCUCUACAAGCUGUGAGAUUGGAUCAUCCCAAAAAGCUUGCUGCCACUGUUAAGCUCAAAUCUUUGAGUUUAUCAUAAUAAAUAGUUUCAUUUUGAGUUUUUAUUACUAUUAAUGUGUUUAUCCCUCGUUAUCAUAUUUAUCUCUUGACUAAAUGAAUAAAUUAAUAUAAAAGCAAAAUGCCUUUAACAAUUUUUUUGUCCAUCAAUUAACAGAUUUUCCUGUUACACUGUUACACACACAGUCACUCAUCUUUACUCAUCGCCUAUUCACCUUUCUCCUCUUACACAACACAACUCCAUUGAUCAAAUUUCCAUUUUCUCUACAAAUGUAAAUCAUCUCUAAAACCAUGGUUAGCAAUUGAUUCCUCUAAAAAUGCCAUUUUCAUUCUCAAUCAAAUCUUCAUUUCCUUUAAAAAUCUCAAUUUUCUCUUUAAAUGUCAAUCCUCUCCCAACCGGUUAGUUCUCAUCCUCAACUCCGAUACCACUUGAUAUCUCCAUCUAUGAGAUUAUGGUUCUCAAGCCACCAUUGCUCGUUACUCUCCCAAUGGCGAGUGGAUCACCUCUGCUGAUGUCUCUAGUACUAUCAAAAUUUGGAAGGCUUAUAAUUAUCAUUCCUUGAACCAUUGCUCGUUACUCUCCCAAUGACGAGUGGAUCGCCUCUGCUGAUGUCUCUAAUACUAUCAAAAAAAAUUGUUUUGUCAAAGGUUUAAAGAAGCCUUUUGUCUAGUAUAAAUUAAUAUUUUUUCCAGCUGCAUACAUCACCCCUGGUGCUUACUUCCUAAACAUGAAGGCCUCAACUGUGGCCAGCAACAAUGACUAAAUAAAAUAAGUUGCAGGUUUCUAACUAGCAUGUAAAAUAAUCCAAGUCAAAAGCUAACUAAGUUCUUCUCCUUCAAGCUUUCAACAGUGUCCUUCAAACUUACGUCGAGAGGAGUAAACUUGACGCCUAGACUCUCCGCUUUCUUUUUGGAUACUUGAUAUUUCGUCGAGUGUGGCUUGUCAUCUGCGCAUCUGCAAUCGAUAAAAAUGGAUACAAGCUCAUCUCUGUCCGUUAUGUAGACAAUGGGUAAAAUGGAAUGAUGUAUGUUAUCUAAGAAACUUACUCUUUAGGAAGCUUGAGUUCAGGGAAAAGUUUGUGCAAAAUCUCCAGAGUCUCAGAAGAGCGUACAACUGACCCAACUAAACAAUAUCUUCCAGAAGCUGAAGAAUUCUCAAAGGCAUAAAUGUGUACAUUGGCAACAUCUCUGACAUCAACCCAUCUGAAUGUUGUAUUUGGAUAUUUUGUCUGCUCCUGCAUCAAAACAUCAACCCAGGCAAAAGUUCAAAGGUACAUAACUUUUAAAAUCUAGAAAUGAAUUUCUCUGUAAACAAAGCAAGUAAUUUUAUUUAAAAGUAGUUUAAUUAUGUUACUAAAACUGCAUUUUAAUUUUACAAUUUUUUUAAAUAUUGGAAACUUCAGACAAUAAAACAAAAAUCUCAUGAAAGAAAGUAAAUUAUACUAUUAAAAAAAAUAAAUAUAUAACUAUAAUUUUUUAUUAAUAAAUGUUCAAUAUUUUAAAUGAUUUUAAGAUUUUUUUUAAAUUGAAGAUAAAGAGGAAUAGAAUUCGAGAGCUCAAAGAUUUAUUCUGAUAUAUUUACCGUUAAAUUAAACCUAAUUAAUACAUAGUAAUUCAUCCAAUUAGGGGUAGGCAUUCGAUCGGUUCAGUUCAAAAUCGAACCAAACCGAAAACCGAAAUUUUAGUUUUUAUGAAAACCGAACCGAACCGAUUUUGGUCAGAAACCGAAUCGAACUUAACCGGUCUGAUUCGGUUCGAUUCGAUUCGGUUUGAUCGGUUUCGAUUUUUAAUAUUUUUUAAAUUUUUUACACUUUAUUUUUAGUUUUUUAAAAUUUAAUUAAAAUAUUUUAAUUUUAAUAUAAUUUAAUUUCUCUAUAUUAUUGAAAAAAUAUAUUAUUAUCCCUAAUCGGUUCGGUUCGGUUUUUUCGGUUUUUUUUCUGAUCAAAACCGAACCGAACCGAAAUAACCAAAAUUUUUGAAAUUUAAAACCGAACCGAACCGAAAUGUAUAAAAAACCGAACCAAAUUUUCAAAUCAAUUCGGUUCAGUCAAUUUUUUCGGUUUGAACCGGAUUCUGCUCACCCCUACAUCCAAUAUCACUAAGCUUGAAAUUAAAUGAAAUUAACCAAACAACUCAACUUUUAAUUAAAAAAUUAAUUAACUAACCACUUUUUAAUCCCCACAAUGCAUCAUUACUUCCUUAUCCGUACGUGAGGUGCAAAUAUUUUUUAAAUGAAUAAAUUAUUUUUAUAUCCAAUUAAAACAUUCAUUUUUUUUUAUUUUUUAAAUUUUACAGUUUAAUUUUUUAUUAUAUUUCUGUCAAAUUAAAAGUUAUUUCAUUAAAAUAAUAUUUUAUUUUUAUAAAAUUAAAAUAAAUAAACUAACCUAUUUAUUUUUAAAAAUUUUGGUACAUAAACAUUAAUUUAACAUAGUUUAAUAUUAUUUUAGAGGUUGAUAAUCUUAAUAAUGAAAACCAACCCAUUGAGAAAGCACUUAAAGAUGAAUUCAAUAUAGACUAUUAUCAUAUAGUUGGAAUACUUUGGAAUCUCUCAAGUAAGUUUGAACUUCAAAAUCUUAAUAUAAAAGUUAUGGAAAUUCUUAAUUGAAGUCUCUAAUGAUGGUUGGUUUUUGCAGGGAAUACAAUGUUAACAUCAAAUGAUACUUUGCAUGGUCAUAUUUAGACAACUUUAAAUGGAAUAUUGAUUAUAUUUCAAGAUUUGGUCUAUAUUAAAUGGAUUACAAAAAUAACUUAAUAAGAAUCGCUAAUGAAUCAGCUAUUUUGUUUACAAAAUUCCUAAAUCCAUCAAACUAUUCUAUUGAUCUAUACUACCUCAACUACAAAAAUAACCUAACAAGAUUCGCUAAGGAAUUAGUUAUUUGGUUUAUAAAAUUCCUAAAUUCAUCAAACUAGACUAUUGAUGAAGAUUAGAGAUGCAUUAUUAGUUUCAUAAAUUGAAAUUAAAUUAAUUACUUAGAAUGUCGCUUGUAAUAAUUUUUUUAUGAUGCCUUGUAUUCUGGACAUACUUUUGCUGUAACUCUUUGGAUCUAUCUUUGAAUAAAUAUUUAUACAUUAUUCUUUUGAUUAAUAUGUUCUAUGCGAAAACUAUAAUAUAUAACAAAUUAAGAUGUUAUUAUCAUAAGUUUUUCCUAAUUCUACUCUUAAUUAAUAAAAUUCUCUCUUUUGCUAAAAAGAAAAAUACUGAUUAAUAGAUGAAUCUUUUACAGUAAUAAUUACUUAAAUCAUGAAAUUGAGUUUUUUAGAGAUUAUUACUAAUUUAAGUAUUGAAAAAAUUGUAAAUAAUCACCACCCAUCUCUUUUUUUGUAAAUUCAUGCUCGAUGAUCAUAUUUGUGAAAGAGAUUAAGACAAUAUCACUCACCCAUUAUAAAAGAAAAAAAGUCUACUUGCUUUUCUAAUUCAAUUCUAUGUAUAUAUAUUACCAACAGAUCUCAAAUACUCAUAUGCCUAAAUAAAUUUAUAAUAAUUUUUGGAUUUGCCCAUAAUUUUAAAUUAAUUUUUUCACUUUCUUAUAUAAGAGACAUGAUUCUAAUUCAAUUUAAUAAUAAUUUUAGAAGAUUUUAUUUAAUUUUAAUUCGAUUAUAGUUUUGAAUCAUGAUUUCAUUACACAAACAGAUCCUAUUAUGAAUUGAUUACUAUAUAUUUUAAUUCGGUUAAUUUUAAAUCAUUAAAAUCUGUAUAUUUUAUUAUUAUUUGAAAUAUUCAGAAAAAUUAGUUAAUGAAUAUAUUUUUAUAAUAAAAAUAAAUAAAUUAUUUUUAAGAAAAAUAAUUUAUUUUUGAAAAUAGUAUGUCAUUUUUUAAAAUUUAAAGAUUUUAUUUGAUAAAUUUUUUAACAUCUUUUAUUUUUAUAUUACAAUUAAAAAAUAAAAAAUAUACUUUUAUCUUAAAAAUAUUUUCUUUUGAAAAUAAAAAAUAUAGGCAAAUUAUUUUCGGCACACAAAUAGAGAUCAUCUAUAUAGAGUGAGCUGCUAAUUAAAUUAAUAUAGAAGCAAAAUGCCUUUAACAAAUUUUUUGUACUUGCACUGUGGCCGGACUUGAAGUAGAACGUAGGUUCAAAGCCUAUUAAAAUCCUCUAAAACAGAUAGACGGUCCAAUGUUGCAUGUUUUAGCCUGUGAAUAAAGAAGGUUGGACUAACCCAAGCGCAUAAUGAAAUAGUAAUUUUUUUCAAACUUCAACUUUUGGUAACUACUAAUUUUACCCUUGUACUUGUUAGGAAAGUCCAAUUUAGUCCAUCUUCCACUUUUUUCCAAAUUAGCCUAGAAGUGCUAAAAUAUUUCAUGAUUUUUGGACUACACUCCUUAAUAUGAAGAAGCUCAAUUUCUUGAUAUUCUUUAUCUUUUAAAAAUCCUAAGCUAAUUUAAACAAAAAUUUUAAAAAGGACUAAAUUGAAAUUUCUCAAUAAUUAGAGGACUGAAAUAGAACUUUAAUCACUUUUUUGUAUUAAUUUAUGAAUAAGAUUUAAGGAGAUAAAAGGGAUGAGAAAAGAAUAGGUGAAGCUGUAUGAAAAACUGCUUCUACUAAAUUUGCUUUCAACACAUGGAGCCUUUCCUUUGCUCCAUAAGUGCAACCAAAUGAUCUGUUUUUUUGUAUCAUCUAUAUCACAUUUAAUAAAUUUAUUCAGACUUGUCUCCAAUAAUUUAUUUUAUAGGAAAAUAAUUUAAAUAAACUUUUAUAAAAUAAUGUAUAAUUUGAUAAAAUGAAUUUCAAAUUAAAAAAAUUUAGAAUUUUUUACGAUAAAUAAGAAAAUUGAUUGAAAAAAUAAUUCAGAGUGUUAGCUUCCUAUUAGUUUUCUUAGAUAUGUCGGUGAGCAUUCGAUCGAUUUGAUUCAAAAUCAAAUUAAACUGAAUAAAUUAAAAAUUAAAAUUUGAAUAUUUAUAAAAAUUAAACUAAAUCAAUUUUGAUCAGAAAUCAAAUUGAACUGAACCAAUCUGAUUCAAUUCGAUUCAAUUUAAUCGGUUUGAAUUUUUAAUAAUUUUUUUUUUUAUUUUUUAUACUUUAUUUUUAAUAUUUUAAAAUUUAAUUAAAAUAUUUUAAUUUUAAUAUAAUCUAAUAUUUCUAUAUUAUUAAAAAUAAUACAUUAUUAUCAUUAAUCGAUUCAAUUUAAUUUUAUUAAUUUUAUUCUAAUAAAAAAUUAAUGAAAUUAAAAUAAUUAAAAUUUUUAAAAUAAAAAAUUAAAUUAAAUCAAAAUAAAUAAAAAAAUUAAAUUAAAAUUUUAAAUUAAUUCAAUUUAAUCAAUUUUUUUUAAAUUAAACCAAAUAACACUGCCCUGUCCCAAAAGACUCGAAAAAUUAAGGAAAGAAGAUUGGAAAAAAGAGCUAUGUAUAUAUACUGACUUUGGUCGCGAACAGUUACUUUUACGAUAUGACCCUUUUGGAGUAAAAGCUUAACCAGCCAUAAAGCUAUGUAGCCAGAGGCUCCCGUGACACACACCACCAUCUUUCUUUCUUCAUUAAUCAUCAUCUUCUCUCUGCUUCUCUCCAUCAUGAGUUGCUCUUCCAUGGCGACUCCUGCGUUGAAAUUUUUUAAUAAGUAGAAAGGAUGAAGUUAAGCAUUAAACUUUAGAAGUUUUUUUUAUUUUAUAUUCUUUAAUUUGAGAAUUCAAUUUAAUUUUUUAUUUAUUUUAAUUUAUUUAAUUUUAAUAAAAAAAAUUAAAAAAUAAAACUAAAUCGAUUUAAUAAUAAUAAUAUAUUAUUUUAAUAAUAUAAAAAACUAAAUCAUAUUAAAAUUAAAAUAAUUAAAUAAUAUUAAAAUUAAAAUAUUUUAAUUAAAUUUUAAAAUAUAAAAAAUAAAAAAAUUUAUUAAAAAUUUAAAUUGAUUAAAUCGAAUUAAAUCAAAUUGAUUCGAUUCAAUUUAAUUUUUAAUCAAAAUAAAUUUAAUUUUAAUUUUAUAAAUACUAAAAUUUUUAAUUUUUAAUUUGUUGAAUUUAAUUUUAAAUCGAUAAAUCUUCAGCCUUAACCAUAACCAUGAAACUUCUCUUACGUGACUUUAAAUGGUUGAGUCUUUGGCGGUAGAUUUAUGCUUUAUAAAUUUUUAGUAGCCAUGAUUAUUGUGUUUUUCUGCGGAUAUGGGAUGGAUCGUUUUAUGAUUGCUUGCGGUCUUAAUGGUCAGUCUCCUUCCUUCAAUUGUCGUUUUCUAUGCAAUUUGCGUUGCACUAAUCCUCCAUUUAUUUUGUAUUUAAUCUAACAAUUUUGAUUUUAGUUCAAUUUAACUCAAAAAAAGUUAGCUUAUUAAUUUUUAAAAGUAAAUCAAAUAAAUCAAGAAAUUUUAGUCCAAAAUCAUAAAAUUAAGUUUAUUGAUCUUUUAUUUUAAAUCAAUAAAUUAAGAAAUUUAAAUAAAAAUUUUAAAUUUGAGCUAAAUUAAAUUUAAAUUGAAACUAUAAAUUAAUUUAAAAAAAAAAAUUAAAAUUCACUAAAUUAAAAAAUUUUCAAAUGUUGAUUUUUUUUUUUUUCAACUAGGUAGUAUGAACCACUCAUCACUUCAGAUAAGAUGUGGACCACAAGCUCAUAUAAAUAGACAGUACUUUUUAAAGAUUUGGAAAAUCUUUGUUUGUUUUGUUUUUACUCUUCCUGCAACACCCAUGUGAUAUUACUCAGAAUGGAGACAUGGUAUGACCCACCACAUUUACAUUGUACCAGACUUUAAUGCUCUUCUUGACUUCUCUCCAUCGUCUUAAUUUAUUUUCCUUGGCUCUCAUUUCUGGACUAAGAUUUCUGAAAAUUAUUUCUCAGUUUCUUUUUUUUAUUUAAUUUGAAAAAAAUUAUUAUUUAGUUGCUUUAAUAUAAAAAAAAAUUAUUUAGUUGAUAAUCACACUCGUAGUAAAUUGUUUUCUGUGAUAAAACUAAAGAUUUUAUUUGUUCAAAAAAAUAAUUUGAGUUUAUUAGGAUUUUAAUGGAAAGUUGAUUCAGACUUUUCAUGCAAUAGCAUUUCCAUGGAUAAAGAAAAUAGACAGUAGUACCACUUUAGCUUAGCUGUCACCGAUUACUUCUUUAUCAAUCUGAUACACGCCGUGGACUUAGACACUUAGACUUCAAAUGCAAUUACAGUCUGUUGUUGUCUUAUAAAUAUUGGUCAUUUGUUGUCAUCUUCUUCUUCACAGCAACAUUUCAUCCUUUUACAAUCAAACCAAAACACCCAAAUGGCCGACGGAGUUCUCUCUAACGUUGUCGGAGAUAUCAUUACCAAGCUGGGUUCUCUAGCCCUUGAUGAGAUCGGAUUGUGGUGGGGCGUCAAAGGUGAGCUUGAGAAACUUAAGGACACAGUUUCUAGUAUUCGCAAUGUUCUUCUGGAUGCUGAGGAGCAGCAGAAACUUAACCAUCAAGUGAAAGGCUGGCUUGAGAGGCUAGAAGAAGUUGUUUAUGAUGCUGAUGACUUGGUAGAUGACUUCGCCACUGAAGCUCUAAGGCGCCGAGUGAUGACUGGAAAUGGAAUGACAAAUGAGCUAAGUAUCUUCUUUUCGUCUUCAAAUCCAAUUACUUAUAGCUUUCAAAUCUGUCGUAAAAUUAAGGCGAUUAGGGAGAGGCUAGCUGAUAUUGAAGGUGAUAGAAAAUUUAAGUUAGAGGUUCGACCAUAUCAGGAGAGGAUUGCAUGGAGGGAUCAAACUGAGUCCUCUUUACCUGAAGUGGUUAUAGGGAGAGAGGGUGACAAAAAGGCAAUUACAGAACUUGUAUUGUCUCCCAAUGGUGAAGAGUGUGUUUCAGUCCUCUCAAUUGUUGGAAUGGGAGGGUUAGGGAAGACGACUCUUGCUCAAAUCAUAUUCAAUGAUGAACUGAUUAAGAAUUCAUUUGAGCGAAGAAUAUGGGUGUGUGUUUCAGAUCCUUUUGAUGUGAAAAUGAUUGUUAGAAAGAUUCUAGAGUCUGCAACAGGGAAUAAAUCAGAAGAUCUUGAGUUAGAAGCAUUUAAAUCUCAACUUGGAGGAAUUAUUGAUAGAAAGAAAUAUCUGCUUGUUCUAGAUGAUGUGUGGAAUGAGAAUAGAGAAAAAUGGCAGAAUUUAAAGAGAUUAUUAGUGGGUGGCUCUAGUGGAAGUAAGAUAUUAAUAACCACUCGCUCUAAAAAGGUGGCAGAUAUAUCUAGCACAAUGGCACCACAUGUUUUGGAAGGGUUGUCUCGGGAUGAGUCUUGGUCUUUGUUUUUGCAUGUAGCACUUGAGGGGCAGGAGCCAAAACAUGCAAAUGUAAGAGAGAUUGGAGAGGAGAUUUUGAAGAAAUGUUGUGGAGUUCCUCUUGCUAUAAAAACUAUCGCAAGUCUCUUGUAUGAGAAAAAUCCAGAAACUGAGUGGCCGCUCUUUUUAAGAAAUGAACUCUCAAAAAUAAGUCAAGAUGAUAAUGAUAUUAUGCCAACACUGAAACUAAGUUAUGAUCAUCUCCCAUCACAUUUGAAGCAUUGUUUUGCAUACUGCGCAUUAUAUCCAAAAGAUUAUAAGAUUGAUGUGAAAACAUUAAUCCAUCUUUGGGUUGCACAAGGGUUUAUUGAUUCACCUAGUACGAGUGAUUGUCUUGAAAAUAUUGGGCUUGAAUAUUUUAUGAAACUGUGGUGGAGGUCAUUUUUUCAAGAGGUGAAAAGAGAUAAAUUUGGAAAUGUCGAAAGCUGUAAAAUGCAUGAUUUAAUGCAUGAUCUCGCAACCACAGUGGGCUGGACAAGGAUCCAGCUAGUAAAUUCUGAUGCUGAUGCACCAAAAAUUGAUGAGAAAAUCCGUUAUGUAGCAUUGAAUUUGGAUGUUGCACCACAAGAAAUUCUUAAUAAUGCAAAAAGACUACGAUCAUUUCUUUUGCUUGGGAAACAUGAUAUUGCAAAAAGACUACGAUCAUUUCCGAAACAUGAUUACGAUGCGCUGUUUAUUCAUAAAAACUUAUGGUGCUUGCGUGCACAUGAUAUGAGUUAUUGUAGGAUUGAGAAGGUGGAUAGUUGUAUAAAAAUGCUAAAACAUCUAAGAUAUCUUGAUGUUUCUCGGAAUGUGGAACUUAGGGUACUUCCAAAUUCUAUUACGGAUUUGCUGAAUUUACAAGUAUUAAAUGUCUCUAAUUGUAGCGAGCUCAAAGAAUUGCCUAAGGAUAUUAAAAAGCUUGUGAAUCUUAGGCAUUUAUAUUGUGAAGGUUGUUUCUCUUUGACUCAUAUGCCACGUGGGCUUGGGCAGUUGACUUCACUUCAGACGUUGUCAGUGUUCGUAGCGGCAAAAGGGCAUAUUUCCUCAAAGGAUGUUGGAAAAAUAAAUGAAUUGAAUGAGCUUAAGAAUUUGAGGGGACGUCUUCAAAUUAAAAAGCUGGGAUGUGAUAAUGAGAUUGUAAAUCUUAAUUUGAAAGAGAAGCCACUCCUUCAAUCAUUGGAAUUAUUCCAUUGGGAGGAGAGUUGCGAAGAUUCAAAUGUUGAUAGAGAUGAAAUGUCAUUCCAAAAUCUCCAACCACAUCGCAAUCUUAAAGAGUUAAAAGUGGUUAAGUAUGGAGGUAGGAGGUUCCCAAGUUGGUUCUCUUCCCUCACGUAUCUUGUCGAUCUCUGUAUGUGGUAUUGCAAGAGAUGUCAGUAUCUCCCACCAAUCGAUCAAAUCCCUUCUCUUCAACGUCUAGAGAUUUUGGGAUUCUAUGAUUUAGAAUACAUGGAGAUUGAGGGACAACGAACAUCAUUCUUUCCAUCCCUAAAGACUCUCAAGCUAUAUCAUUGUCCUAAGCUUAAAGGAUGGCAGAAGAAGAGGGAUGAUUCGACAGCACUUGAGCUACUCCAAUUUCCUUGUCUUUCAGAUUUCACUUGUACUUGGUGCCCUAAUUUGACCUCCAUCCCUCAGUUUGGAUCUCUCGACGAAUCACUAAAUUUGAACGACGCAAGCCCACAACUCGUGCACCAAAUAUUCACACCAUCAAUCUCUUCUUCUUCCUCAAUCAUUCCCCCUCUCUCUAAAUUGAAGCACCUUUCGAUUGAGUACAUUAAAGAGCUCGAAUCCCUACCUCCAGAUGGACUGCGGAAUCUCACUUGUCUUCGAAGCCUAACCAUUGAUAAUUGUCCGGCAUUGAAGUGUCUGCCUCAAGAGAUGCAUUCCCUCACCUCUUUACGAAGAUUGGAUAUCAAGUGCUGUCCCCAAUUGAAGGAGAGAUGUGGAAAUAAAAAGGGUGCGGAUUGGGCUUUCAUUUCUCACAUCCAAAAUAUUACAGUUGAUUACCAAGGAAUUCAAAUGGUGGGCCGGUAUCUACUGGAUGAUGAAGCUUCGGUAAGUUGGUGUUUUUUCUUUCCAAUUUGCAAAUUGAACUUAUAUGAGAAAAUCUUCACUCUAUGAUUCUAUUUACACAGAUCAAUGAAGGAUAGGUUUUCAACUGUUGGAUAUAACUGAUUAAUUUUGACUCUUUAUGCAGAAGUUAGUAGAGGACUUGGAAAAGAUGUUAUUGCUGCAAUUACUUUUUGAUUAAUCUUCUAAAUUAGGAUGAAAAUUGAUUGUGCUGAAGGUGAUUGUCAUAUGUCAAUUUCUCUUCACAUGCACCAUUCCUUUGUAAAUUAAAUCAGCAGCAUAUCUUAAUUAUUUGGUAUUUAUUCAAGUUUUUUCAAUGUCAAAUGCAGAGGUGGAGAAAACCAUUUAUUCUGAAAACAAAAUGUGAUUUCUGGGUAAACAUCAUAUUUCUCCCACACAAGGUAAACANNNNNNNNNNNNNNNNNNNNNNNNNNNNNNNNNNNNNNNNNNNNNNNNNNNNNNNNNNNNNNNNNNNNNNNNNNNNNNNNNNNNNNNNNNNNNNNNNNNNNNNNNNNNNNNNNNNNNNNNNNNNNNNNNNNNNNNNNNNNNNNNNNNNNNNNNNNNNNNNNNNNNNNNNNNNNNNNNNNNNNNNNNNNNNNNNNNNNNNNNNNNNNNNNNNNNNNNNNNNNNNNNNNNNNNNNNNNNNNNNNNNNNNNNNNNNNNNNNNNNNNNNNNNNNNNNNNNNNNNNNNNNNNNNNNNNNNNNNNNNNNNNNNNNNNNNNNNNNNNNNNNNNNNNNNNNNNNNNNNNNNNNNNNNNNNNNNNNNNNNNNNNNNNNNNNNNNNNNNNNNNNNNNNNNNNNNNNNNNNNNNNNNNNNNNNNNNNNNNNNNNNNNNNNNNNNNNNNNNNNNNNNNNNNNNNNNNNNNNNNNNNNNNNNNNNNNNNNNNNNNNNNNNNNNNNNNNNNNNNNNNNNNNNNNNNNNNNNNNNNNNNNNNNNNNNNNNNNNNNNNNNNNNNNNNNNNNNNNNNNNNNNNNNNNNNNNNNNNNNNNNNNNNNNNNNNNNNNNNNNNNNNNNNNNNNNNNNNNNNNNNNNNNNNNNNNNNNNNNNNNNNNNNNNNNNNNNNNNNNNNNNNNNNNNNNNNNNNNNNNNNNNNNNNNNNNNNNNNNNNNNNNNNNNNNNNNNNNNNNNNNNNNNNNNNNNNNNNNNNNNNNNNNNNNNNNNNNNNNNNNNNNNNNNNNNNNNNNNNNNNNNNNNNNNNNNNNNNNNNNNNNNNNNNNNNNNNNNNNNNNNNNNNNNNNNNNNNNNNNNNNNNNNNNNNNNNNNNNNNNNNNNNNNNNNNNNNNNNNNNNNNNNNNNNNNNNNNNNNNNNNNNNNNNNNNNNNNNNNNNNNNNNNNNNNNNNNNNNNNNNNNNNNNNNNNNNNNNNNNNNNNNNNNNNNNNNNNNNNNNNNNNNNNNNNNNNNNNNNNNNNNNNNNNNNNNNNNNNNNNNNNNNNNNNNNNNNNNNNNNNNNNNNNNNNNNNNNNNNNNNNNNNNNNNNNNNNNNNNNNNNNNNNNNNNNNNNNNNNNNNNNNNNNNNNNNNNNNNNNNNNNNNNNNNNNNNNNNNNNNNNNNNNNNNNNNNNNNNNNNNNNNNNNNNNNNNNNNNNNNNNNNNNNNNNNNNNNNNNNNNNNNNNNNNNNNNNNNNNNNNNNNNNNNNNNNNNNNNNNNNNNNNNNNNNNNNNNNNNNNNNNNNNNNNNNNNNNNNNNNNNNNNNNNNNNNNNNNNNNNNNNNNNNNNNNNNNNNNNNNNNNNNNNNNNNNNNNNNNNNNNNNNNNNNNNNNNNNNNNNNNNNNNNNNNNNNNNNNNNNNNNNNNNNNNNNNNNNNNNNNNNNNNNNNNNNNNNNNNNNNNNNNNNNNNNNNNNNNNNNNNNNNNNNNNNNNNNNNNNNNNNNNNNNNNNNNNNNNNNNNNNNNNNNNNNNNNNNNNNNNNNNNNNNNNNNNNNNNNNNNNNNNNNNNNNNNNNNNNNNNNNNNNNNNNNNNNNNNNNNNNNNNAAUUUUUUAUAAUAAUAUUUUUUAAUUUCCUUUAAUAAUAAUUUAUUUUUAUAUUAUCAUAAAUUUAUCUCUAAAUAUUACAAUUAUUUAUAAAUAAAUAUUUAUAUUUUUUAAAAUUAAUCUCACAUGUUUAUUAAAUUUAAUAUUUUAUAUUUAAAAAUAAAUUAAUAAAAUAAAAAUUAAAUAAAAAUUUUGACAUAAACAUCUAAAUUCAAGUCCAAAUAGUUCUUUAUCAUCUAAUUUCUUUCCUUUUAAUGAUUUUUUAUUAAUUAAAAAAUAAAUAUUAAAUUUUUAUCUUAUUUUUUACAUGUAAAAUAUUAAAAUUUAAUAAAUAAAAAAUAAAUUUAUAAAUAUAAAGACUUAUUAAUAAUUAUAAUUUUUAGGGAUUUAUAUAGAUAUUUAUUUUAAUUAAAAACAUGAAAUUUAAAUUAAAAAAUUAUUUUAUUAAUCAAACAAAAUUUAAUAAAUUAAAUUUAAAAUUAUAAAGACUAAAAUAUAGAUUUUAUUAAAUAUCAUGAAAUUAAUUAUAAUUUUUUUAAUAAUAAUUAACUAGAAAAAUAUUCUUUCUAUUUUGUAAUUAUUAAUAUUUUUUAGUGAUUUAUUAAUUUCUAGUUAUUUAUUUAGUUAAAUAGUAAAACAAAUGAUAAUGGAGAGAAAAAGUUUUAUUAGGGGCAUUCUAAUCCACGAAAACAUUGUUAUGUAACUUUUGUAGAAUUCAUUUUAAAUUCAUCAAAAUUUGAGGGAAUUAAUUUUAUUUAUAAUCAAUUUCAUGAAAUUCAAUUUUUAGAAUUAAAUUUUUAGAAUUAUUAAUGAAUCAGAUCAAACGAAAGUAUAAAAGUAGAAAAUUUUCCAAAAAUUCAACACAAUCCGUACAUUUUCCAAUAGGUUACAUUUUAACGAACUGGACUUCCUGCACAUAGAAAAUCCUUGUGGAAAUAACAAAGAACAUAACAGAUUUCCAUUUUAAAAAAAAUAAAAAAAUAAAAAAAUAAAAAACAAAACACAACAGAUUUCAUUAUCUGCAUUACUUCUGCUUCAAAAUAACAUAAGAUUCAGACAUCAAGAAAGCCCUUGUCUUUCAGACAUUCAAUGGUGUCCACAACACUCACCUCCAAGGGAAUGAAGUUGAUGCCUAAACUCUUAGCUUUCUCCUUUGAAACCUCAUAUUUUAAUGCAAAAGGCUUCUCAUCUUCACAUCUGCUAACCAAGAACAACAUCAUGCACAAUAAUUUCUACAACGGUCAAAUCCAGUAUCCCUCAAAAAAGACAGGAAAGAAAAAAGAAAUACUUUUCAGGAAGUUGCAGAGCAGGGUAUUGUUCAUGAACGAUCUUUAAGAACUCGGAGAAAUGUACAACUCUUCCGACUAAACAAUAUCUGCCAUUAGCAGAAGCUUGUUCAAAAGCUUGAAUAUGUGCAGAUGCAACAUCUCUAACAUCAACAAAUCUGUAAAUUUCAUUAGGAAAUGUUUCUCCUGCAUGCAAGGAACCCACAAUUCACAAAGAAUGGACAUGUUAGAGAUCAUUACAUUUAAAGACAGAACACUGAGAAAGAGUUUACCAUUUAUGUAGUUUAGAAUAACCUCCACAGUGACAUUUAGAGUUGGCUGUAAGAAAGGAUCAAUUACAAAUCCUGGAUGUAUUGUGACAAUGUCAAUUCCACUUUCUUCUGCAAAUUUCGAGGCAGCCUUCUCAGCUAUGGUUUUUGCAUACAGAUACCAAUGCUAGAAAGCCCAGAAAAAUUAAUUAAAACCCAUAAAAAGUGUAAUGCUAGCUAUUGAAACAAGGUUCUGAUAGUGACCAAUGUGAAUCUAGAGCUUGCAGAAGCUGUGGUAGUUUGAAUUUUAGGCAAACAUAUUCUCACCUUUAUUGACUCACAAUAGGUAGGAUCUGAAAACCAAGUCUCAUCAAUUACCACAUCAGGUAUCAGAGGCUUUCCAUCGAACAUAACUGAUGCCAUUGAAGAUGUUAUGAUCACUCUCUUGAGAGAAGGGACUUUUGUACAUGAUCUGAGAACGUUUAGAGUUCCCUUCACUGCAGGAUCAAUCAGUUCUGCCUGAAAAUAUUGGCUAACACUGAAUCAAUGGGUUGUGACAAACCCAUAGUACUAAAAAGACACGCACUUAUAACCGCAAUAAAAUAGAGAAAUUCGACUGUAAGGUCUACACCUGUGGAUCAUUUGUACAAAAGAGUGGACAAGCUGUGUGAAAUACACCUUCACAUCCAUCAAUGGCGGAAUCAAAAGAUCCAUCUUCCAGUAAAUUUGCUUUGAACAAGAAGAGUCUCUCCUUAGCUCCAUCAAGUGCAAAUAGGUGUUCAGUUUGCUUUAAAUCAUCUAUACAACAGAUGUAUAAUCAGACUCCUUAAUGGGCAAGUUGGAAACCAACCAGUGGUGAAAACUUGAUUUUAACUCACUGAUUUGGGGUGAUAAGAUUAAAAAAACAAAAUCCAGAACUCAAAUUUUGAAGAUUUUAAUCAGAAACCAGAAAUAUCAUCCUGACUUUAUCACACUGAGAUCAAAAGAAACAAAACAGAAUAAAUAAGAAGGAGAUGGAUACUAACUUGGAUCAAGAACAGUGGCUUUCACUGUAUAUCCAUGAUGGAGCAAGAACUUGACCAGCCAUGAUGCUAUGUAACCUGACCCUCCUGUUACACAUACUACUUUUCCUUCUCUAUUCAUUCUCUUCUUCUCUCAUUAACUAAUGUGCAACUCCAUUUUCUAGUACAGCUCAAAGAUUUACUAAAAUGAAAAUCUUAUAUGAACCGACGGUAAUCAUUUGGUCAAUUAUCAUUGUUGUAGAAUUAUGAUGAAGUUGUUAGAUUGGUCCACAAACAAACAUGUCAGAUGAUGUUGAUUCUGUUUGUCAUAUAGUCAUCUAGAUUAUAUAAUAGACAAUGCAAUUUUUUUAAUUAUUCAUUUUUCUGUUUGGUUCCCUGGAAAUAUAGACAAAAGCACAGAAUAUGAACUUGAAGAAUUUGAUAAGAGAAGAUGCUCUACGAGCUGUGAGAUUGGAUCAUCCCAAAAAGAUUGGAUCAUAAUAAAUAGUUUCAUUUUGAGUUUUUAUUACUAUUAAUGUGUUUAUCCCUCGUUAUCAUAUUUAUCUCUUGACUAAACGAAUAAAUUAAUAUAAAAGCAAAAUGCCUAUUCACCUUUCUCCUCUUACACAACACAACACAACUCAUCUUUUCUCAUCGCCUAUUCACCUUUCUCCUCUUACACAACACAACACAACUCAUCUUUUCUCAUCGCCUAUUCACCUUUCUCCUCUUACACAACACAACUCCAUUGAUCAAAUCUCCAUUUUCUCUACAAAUGUAAAUCAUCUCUAAAACCAUGGUUAGCAAUUGAUUCCUCUAAAAAUGCCAUUUUCAUUCUCAAUCAAAUCUUCAUUUCCUUUAAAAAUCUCAAUUUUCUCUUUAAAUGUCAAUCCUCUCCCAACCGGUUAGUUCUCAUCCUCAACUCCGAUACCACUUGAUAUCUCCAUCUAUGAUAUUAUAGUUCUCAAGCCACCAUUGCUCGUUACUCUCCCAAUGGCGAGUGGAUCGCCUCUGCUGAUGUCUCUAGUACUAUCAAAAUUUGGAAGGCUUAUAAUUAUCAUUCCUUGAACCAUUGCUCGUUACUCUCCCAAUGACGAGUGGAUCGCCUCUGCUGAUGCCUCUAAUACUAUCAAAAAAAAUUGUUAUGAGUUUAAUCAACGAUUGGAAAUUUGUCAAAGGUUUAAAGAAGUCUUUUGUCUAGUAUAAAUUAAUAUUUUUUUCAGCUGCAAGUACAUCACCCGUGGUGCUUACUUCCUAAACAUGAAGGCCUCAACUGUAGCCAGCAACAAUGACUAAAUAAAAUAAGUUGCAGGUUUCUGACUAGCAUGUAAAAUAAUCCAAGUCAAAAGCUAACUAAGUUCUUCUCCUUCAAGCUUUCAACAGUGUCCUUCAAACUUACGUCGAGAGGAGUAAACUUGAUGUCUAGACUCUCCGCUCUCUUUUUGAAUACUUGAUAUUUCAUCGAGGGUGGGUUGUCAUCUGCGCAUCUGCAAUCGAUAAAAAUGGAUACAAGCUCAUCUCUGUCCGUUACGUAGACAAUGGGUAAAAUGGAAUGAUGUAUGUUAUCUAAGAAACUUACUCUUUAGGAAGCUUGAGUUCAGGGAAAAGUUUGUGCAAAAUCUCCAGAGUCUCAGAAGAGUGUACAACUGACCCAACUAAACAAUAUCUUCCAGAAGCUGAAGGAUUCUCAAAGGCAUAAAUGUGUGCAUUGGCAACAUCUCUGACAUCAACCCAUCUGAAUGUUGUAUUUGGAUAUUUUUCUGCUCCUACAUCAAAACAUCUCAACUGCUUGCAUCACAAAUAAUUGCAUGCAAAAUAUAUAAAAAAUAAUAAUUAGGCACUUACAUUCUGACAGCAUUAAGGAAUCUCAGGGAUUGGUUAUAGUUUUAUUUUUUAAGAAAUCUCAGGGAUUGGUUAUAGUUUUCUUUUUUAAGAACAGUAAAACAUAUUGAAUUCUUAGUUUUCAAGCAAUUUUCAAUUGAAAAAUUACUAUUUAGUUUUUAAUAUAAAAAAACUUAUUAAUUAAUCUCAAUUUUGAAAAAUAUAUUAAAAUAUUUCUUAUAUUUUAAAUUUUCUACUAUUAAGACCAUAUCCAACGCCAAUUUUCAUUUUGACAUUGGAGAUGGCCCUCCAACUUUGCGCCAAAAUCCUACGGGAUUUUGGCACUCGCUACAGUGUCACGCCAAAUAUGGUGUGACACUAUAGCAGCGCUAUUUUUUUUUUAAUUUAUAAUAUAAUUUAAAAUUUAUUUUUUUUAUUUUUUUAAAAUUAUAAUAUAAUUCAAAAUUUAUAUAUAUUUUCAAUUAAAUUUAUUUUUUUUCACUCUCAUAAUUUAUUAUAUUUUUAAUUUAUUUUAUAUUUUUAUAAUUAUUGAAAUUUAAUUUAAAUUAAUAUAUUCACAAUUAUAAAUAAUAUUUAUAAUAAAUUAAUUUCUUUAUAAUAAAUAGAACUUUAAUCACUUUUGAGUUUUAAUUUAUGAAUAAGAUUUAAGGAGAUAAAAGGGCUGAGAAAAGAACAUGUGGAUGAGUAACAGAAAAUAUUACAGUAUGAAAAACUGCUUCACAUCUAUCAACUACAGCAUCAAAAGAUCCUUCUUCUACUAAAUUUGCUUUCAACAGAUGGAGCCUUUCCUUUGCUCCAUCAACUGCAACCAAAUGAUCUGUUUUUUUGUAUCAUCUAUAUCACAUUUAAUAAAUUUAUUCAGAUUUGUCUUUAAUAAUUUAUUUUAUAAGAAAAUAAUUUAAAUAAAUUUUUAUAAAAUAAUGUAUAAUUUGAUAAAACAAAUUUCAAAUUAAAAAAAUUUAGAAUUUUUUUACGGUAAAUAAGAGAAUUGAUUGAAAAAAAAAUUCGGAGUUUAGCUUUCUAUUAGUUUUCUUAGAUCUAUCAGUUAGCAUUUGGUCGGUUUGAUUCAAAAUCGAAUUGAACUGAAUAAAUUAAAAAUCAAAAUUUAAGUAUUUAUAAAAAUUAAACUAAAUCAAUUUUGAUCAGAAAUCAAAUCGAACUGAACGAGUCUAAUUUAAUUCGAUUCAAUUUGAUUAGUUUAAAUUUUUAAUAAAUUUUUUUAUUUUUUACACUUUAUUUUUAAUAUUUUAAAAUUUAAUUAAAAUAUUUUAAUUUUAAUAUAAUUUAAUAUCUCGAUAUUAUUAAAAAUAAUAUAUUAUUAUCACUAAUCGAUUCAAUUUAAUUUUAUUAAUUUUAUUUUAAUAAAAAAUAAAUAAAAUUAAAAUAAUUAAAAUUUUUAAAAUAAAAAAAUUAAAUCAAAUCGAAAUAAAUAAAAAAUUAAACUAAAUUUUUUAAUUAAUUCAAUUUAAGUAAUUUUUUUAAAUUAAACCAAAUAACACUCCCCGUCCCGAAGCACUAGAAAAAUUAAAGAAAGAAGAUUAGAAAAAAGAGUGAUGUAUAUAUACCGACUUGGGUCGCGAACAGUUGCUUUUACGAUAUAACCCUUUUGGAGUAAAAGCUUAACCAGCCAUGAAGCUAUGUAGCCACAGGCUCCUGUGACACUGACACACCACCAUUAAUCAUCAUCUUCUCUCUGCUUAUCUCCAUCAUGAGUUGCUCUUCCAUGGCGACGAAUGAGUUGAAAUUUUUUAAUAAGUAGAAAGGAUGAAGUUAAGCAUUAAACUUUAGAAGUAUUUUUUAUUUUAUAUUUUUGAAAAGAAACAAUAAAUAUUUUGUUAUAUUAGUUAUGUAUUUUUUUACUUUUUUUUUUGUCUUUUCUCUAAUUUUUUUUUAAUAUAAUCGACUUGGAUAAAAAAAUCAAGAUUAAACUACUUUUAGAAUUUUUAUUUUAUCCUAUCAUAUAAUAUACUUUAUUAUUAUCCCACUUACAAUAAUUAGAUAAUAAAUAAUUUUUAUUUAAAUUAAAUUUAUACAAAUCUAUUAUAAAUAAAUAUAAUUAUUAUAUAUAAAUUUUACAAUAAUUUUAUAUUAUAAAUCAAUAUAAAUCCGAUGACGUGGACUAUUAGCUUUUUGAUUCUUAGAGAAGUUACCAUUUGAAAAAAACCAUCGAAAAUGAAUUAAUUUGAAAAUUUGAUUUGAUUUUUUAUUUAUUUCAAUUUAAUUUAAUUUUAAUCAGAAAAAAAUUAAAAAAAUUAAAUCGAAUCGAUUUAAUAAUAAUAAUAUAUUAUUUUUAAUAAUAUAAAAAGACUAAAUCAUAUUAAAUUUAAAAUAAUUAAAUAAUAUUAAAAUUAAAAUAUUUUAAUUAAAUUUUAAAAUAUUAAAAUAAAAUAUAAAAAAUAAAAAAUUUUAUUAAAAAUUCAAAUUCAUCAAAUUAAAUCGAAUCGAAUUGAAUCAAAUCGAUUUGAUUUAAUUUAAUUUCUAAUCAAAAUAAAUUUAAUUUAAUUUUUAUAAAUAUUAAAAUUUUUAAUUUUUAAUUUAUUUAAUUCAAUUUUAAAUCCAAUGAUAAAAUCAUCAACCCUAACAUAACCUUGAAACUACUCCUACGUGACUUUAAAUGGUUGAGUCUUUGGCGGUAGAUUUAUGCUUUAUAAAUUUUUAGUAGCGAUGAUUACUGUGUUUUUCUGCGGAUAUGGGAUGGAUCGUUUUAUGAUUGCUUGCGGUCUUAAUGGUCAGUCUCCUUCCUUCAAUUGUCGUUUUCUAUGCAAUUUGCGUUGCACUAAUCUCCCAUUUAUUUUUUGUUUAAUCUAAUGGAGGCAUUAUUAUGUGUUAAAAAAAGUCAAUUUCACCCAUAAUUAUUAUAAAAGCUUAAUUUAGUUUAUUUUCACUUUUCAAACUAAUCUAACAAUUUUGAUUUUAGUUCAAUUUAACUCAAAAAAAGUUAGCUUAUUAAUUCGAAAAAAUUUCUGGAGUAAGAUUUCUUUCAGUUUCUUUUUUUAUUUAACUCGAAAAAAUUAUUAUUUACUUGCUUUAAUAUAAAAAAAAUUAUUUAGUUGAUAAUCACACUCGUAGUAAAUUGUUUUCUGUGAUAAAACUAAAGAUUUUAUUUGUUCAAAAAAAUAAUUUGAGUUUAUUAGGAUUUUAAUGGAAAGUUGAUUCAGACUUUUCAUGCAAUAGCAUUUCCAUGGAUAAAGAAAAUAGACAGUAGUACGACUUUAGCUUAGCUGUCACCGAUUAGAUUACUUCUUUAUCAAUGUCACAGACUUCAAAUGCAAUUACUGUCUGUUGCUGUCUUAUAAAUAUUAGUCAUUUACAAGUAUUAAAUGUCUCUUAUUGUUUCGAGCUCAAAGAAUUGCCUAAAGAUAUUAAAAAGCUUGUGAAUCUUAGGCAUUUAUAUUGUGGAGGUUGUUACUCUUUGUCUCAUAUGCCACGUGGGCUUGGGCAGUUGACUUCACUUCAGACGUUGUCACUGUUCGUAGUGGCAAAAGGGCAUAUUUCCUCAAAGGAUGUUGGAAAAAUAAAUGAAUUGAAUAAGCUUAAGAAUUUGAGGGGACGUCUUGCAAUUAGAAAUCUGGGAUGUGUGGAUAAUGAGAUUGUAAAUGUUAAUUUGAAAGAGAAGCCACUCCUUCAAUCAUUGGAAUUACGUUGGGACCACCAGAGUUGGAAUGAUUCAAAUGUUGAUAGAGAUGAAAUGUCAUUCCAAAAUCUCCAACCACAUCCUAAUCUUAAAGAGUUAUAUGUUGAUGGCUAUGGAGGCAGGAGCUUCCCAAGUUGGUUCUCUUCCCUCUCGAAUCUUGUCAAUCUCUGUAUAUCGGAUGGCAAUGGAUGUCAGCAUCUCCCAUCAAUGGUUCAAAUCCCUUCUCUUCAAUAUCUAGUUAUUUCGAGAUUAGACGAUUUAGAAUACAUGGAGAUUGAGGGACAACAAACAUCAUUCUUUCCAUCCCUAAAGUCUCUCACGCUAUAUGAUUGUCCUAAGCUUAAAGGAUGGCAGAAGAAGAGGGAUGAUUCGACAGCACUUGAGCUACUCCAAUUUUCUUGUCUUUCAAAUUUCUAUUGUAAUAACUGCCCGAAUUUGACCUCCAUCCCUCAGUUUCCAUCUCUCGAUCAAUCACUACAUUUGCAGAAAGCAAGCCCACAACUUGUGCACCAAAUAUUCACACCAUCAAUCUCUUCUUCUUCCUCAAUCCUUCCUCCUCUCUCUAAAUUGAAGGACCUUACGAUUAGGGACAUUGAAGAGCUCGAAUCUCUACCUCCAGAUGGACUGCGGAAUCUCUCUUGUCUUCAAACACUAACCAUUGAUACUUGUCCGGCAUUGAAGUGUCUGCCUCAGGAGUUGCAUUCCCUCACCUCUUUACGAAAGUUGGAUAUCCAGGACUGUCCCCAAUUGAAGGAAAGAUGUGGAAAUAAAAAGGGUGCGGAUUGGGAAUUCAUUUCACACAUCCAAAAAAUUAAAGUUGAUAGACAAACAAUUCAAAAGGAGGGCCGGUAUCUACUGGAUGAUGAAGCUUCGGUAAGUUGGUGCUUUUUCUUUCCAAUUUGCAAAUUGAACUUAUAUGAGAAAAUCUUCACUCUAUGAUUCUAUUUACA
rnacentral:lncRNA from 1 species